CAGGAAAAUUCUUCUAACAUACUUUCAGAGUUAGAUGAAGAAUUUGAUAGUUUGUACUCUAUAUUGGAUGAUGUAAAAGAAAGUAUGAUUAAUAGUAUCAAGCAAGAACAAGCUCGUAAAUCACACGAGUUACAGGUGAGACCCUGCAGCUAUUUAAGUCUGAAUAUUCUAUUUAAUGCUUGAUGUGUUGAAAGCAAAAAUUAGUGAAUUUGUGAGUAUAACUAUACUUUUAUUCAAGAAUGGUUUUUAACUUUGCUCAAACUUUCUUUUUUAAAUUAUGGUUAAGAAAUAACAAAAUUUACUUUCAGAUGUUUUUUAAAUGUUGUAAUUAUGUUAUCAUGUAACAGAGCUUAAGAACUUUUAAAUUUUAUUACAAAGCUGAAACUAUGUGCCCCUUAAACAAAAACUCCUUAUUUUCCCCUCCUGCCAGCUCCUGGCAAUCAUACUGUUUCCUCUUCCAUUGUUUUGAUUACUCUUGAUAUCUCACAUGAGUAGAAUUGUAAAGUGUUUGUCCUUUUGUGAUACUGUUAUUUCACUCAGUAUAAUGUCCCUAGGGUUCAUCUGUGUUGUAGCAUGUAUCAAGAUUUCCUGUAUUUCUGGUUGGAUAAUAUUUCAUGUGUGUAUAUAUUUUCUUUUAUCCAUUUAUCUGUCAACGUUUGUGAUAUUUCUACCUCUUGAUUAAUGUGAAUAAUGCUUUGGUGAAUUUUGUUGUGCAAGUAUAAACCUAAGAUGCUCCUUUAAUUCUUUUGUUGUAUACCCAGAAGUCAGAUUGCUAAUCAUGUGGUAGUUCUCUUUUUAGUUUUUUGAGAAACUUUCAUAUUGUUUUCCAUAGUGGCUAUACCAUUUUACCUUCUUACCAACAGUACAUAAGAGUUCUGUUUUUUUCUACAUCCUCACCAACUUAUUUUCUGGGUUUUUUUUUUGUUGUUGUUUGUUUUGUUUUGUUUGAUAGUAGUUGUUUUUUUACAGUUUAGAUUUGCAUUUUUCUAAUGAUUAGAGAUGCUGAGCAUCCUUUUGAAUUGUUGAUCAUCUCUGUUGUUUUCUUUGGAGAAAUGCCUAUUCAGGUUUUUCCCCACCCCCAUAUUUUACUUUGCAUUUCGAGACAGAGUGUUGCUGAGUUGCUGAGGCUGAUCUCAGCAACUUUCGAUCCUCCUACCUCAACUUCCCGAGUCUCUGGGUUUACAAGUGUGUGCCACCAUAUCUGGCUAAGUUGUAGGAAUUUUUUAUACAUCCUGGGUAAAUAUUUUUUUUAAAUAUAUUUUUAGUUGUCAAUGGACCAUUAUUUUACUUAUUUAUAUGUUGGUGCUGAGCAUAGUGCCUCACACAUGCUAGGCAAGCACUCUCCCACUUAGCUACAAACCCCAGCCCAUUCUGGGUAUAUUUUAAUUUAACUAUUUAUCUAGAGAACUUCACUCAUGCUAGGCAAGGGCUGUAGUACUGAGUUAUAUCCCAUAACCUUACAUUCAGGAUAUUAACCCCUUAUCAGAAUUUAUUCCAAGUCCCAUUUAUCUGUUUUUGCUUUUGUUACAAAUGCAGUAUUGCAAUAUGUGGUGUAAUGAAGAUUUCCCCCUGUGUUUGAGCUUUAAGGGUUUUGUUGAGAAAGUUGGUGCCUACAUCUAUAUGAUGGAGUGUUGACCCCAUGUUUUCGUCUAAUGGUUGUAAACUUUCUGGUCUAAUUCCUAUGUCUUUGGACUAUUUCAGUUUGACUUUUGUGCAGGGUAAGAGAUAGGGAUAUGGUUUCAUUUUGCUACACAUAGCUGUCCAGUUUUCCCAGCACCAUUUGUUAAAAGUCUGUCUUUUCUCCAAAAUAUAUUUUUUGCACCUUUGUCAAGUAUCAGACGGCUAUAAGUAUGUGGGUUUAUCUCUGUCUUCUACUCUGUUCCAUUGGUCUUCAUAUUUAUUUUAAUGCCAAUGCCAUGCUGAUUUUGUUACUAUAACUUUGUAGUAUAAUUUCAGAUCAGGUGUUGUGAUACCUCCUGCAUCACUUUUCCUGUUGAUUAUUGCUUUGGCUAUUCAGGGUCUCCUUUUCUUUCAAAUGAAUUUAACACAUUUUUUUUCUAAUUCUGUGAAGAAAGUCAUUGGUAUUUUGAUGGGGAUUGCUUUGAAUCUGGAUAUUGCUUUUUGGUAGUAUGGCUUUUAAUGCAAUCUUAAGGGGAAAAUAAGUAGGCUUGAAUAUGGAAUAGAGACUAGUUAAAUAUUUUGAAGAAGAAUCUUAUAUACAUUUAAAAGCCUAGUAGUUGGUUUGUUUCUCUGUUUGUGGAAUCACUACCAAUCUUUUCACAUGACCUACAAUUGAGAAGGGAAGAAGAGAAAGUGAAAGAGAAAACUAAAUAAGAUUGUAUUAGGUGGAAUUAAUAUGUAAGCAUGAAUACUGAGCAUAUCACUAUAACAGUUCCUCUCUUUUGUUUCUCUUCAUUCCUAUUUAAUUCUAGGUACUUGACUUGUAGUUCUUGUGCUAUCCAGUCUUGGAAAUUUUAAUUAAUAUUUCAGUAGUAUGCAUUUCUUGAAUAGUGUGAUAAGUGAUGCUCAACUUGAAUGUACCUGCACCUCAUUUCACAAACUUUAGCUUAAAUAGUUAUCAUUAAGAAAUUUAGUCUUCAUUACAGAGGAUGUUGUCUUAAGGUAGAUUGUUAUUUUAAAUUGUAGAUAGUUUUCUGACUACUUUUAUUAGUAGAGAAGAAUCUUCAAAUAAAUUUGGCCCCAGUAGUUUAUAAUUCUUUUCUUUUUUGUUUUAAAUUCUAUCUUUAUACAUACAAAGCUAAGCUUUUUACAUAAAUUAUGGAAAGAAAUACAAAGUAUUAAAAUAAUAUAAGCUUAUUGAAUAUAUGACUGGUCAUGAUUAUCUUGCUUCAGCAGCUCUCUGAAUUUUUUUUCAUUACUGCUAUUAAAAUCAUUUAUAAAUUUAUUAUAACAAUGUAUAUUUUAAAUUUCUGGUGGCAAUAAGAAACUUCAUAUUAAUGAUUUAGGUUUUUUUCCCCCUUAGAAUCAGCUUAGUCAAUGUAAUAAUGCCCUGGAGAAUUCUGAAGAAUUGCUAGAAUUUGCGACAAGGUCCUUAGAUAUAAAGGAGCCUGAAGAUUUUUCAAAGGUACAAAAAAAAACACUUAUGAAAAAAAUUUACUCUAAUACACUUUAUAAAGGAGUUAACUCCUUUAGUUUUGGAUUUGUUUAUUCAUUUCUUUUUAAUUUAUUUUAUUUUUUCCCUUUUUUUUUCAUUUUGUUGUUCAGUCAUUUCUAAUGUUGAAGAAGCUUGGGAUUUCUGGAUAAUUAAAAUGCAAACUUCUCAAGCUGCUUUGUUUUAAAGGAGACACUUAUUAGUAUGUAUCUUUGGGAUCAUGAAAACGUUAACUAUUUUAGUUUAAUUUUUCUUUACUAUUCAAUUCAGAUGAAUCAAGUUACUUUCCUUUUAGUUAUAUCUCUAUUGGUAAUUAUUUAAAGGUACUUAUGUACUUGAAUGGAGUCAUAUCUUUCUUUUAGACUUUUCAUGACCGAGGAAAGAAGAUUGGUAUUACCAUUGAUGUGGUUCAAAACUAGUUUUCUAAGAGUUGAUUGGGAAAACAUUAUCAAUUGAUACAUAUAAGCAUUGUAACCCUGUGAAACUUCUUAUUGGAGACAAAUGUCCUGUUAUUUAGCCUAAUUAAUUGAAUGUUUUAUUAAAACAUGAAAAAAUAGGUCCUUGUUAAAGAGUAUGUUUGGAUGGAAAUAAAAGGAGUAAAAGCAGGUAGCUUAGCUUGCUUCUGUUUUAACUUAGAGUCUCUCAUUUAAAGGAUUCUUAUUUUAUUAUUUUUUUAAUUUUUUAACUUUUUUUUUUUUUUUUUAGUUUUUGGCGGACACAACAUCUUUGUUUGUAUGUGGUGCUGAGGAUCGAACCCGGGCCACAUGCAUGCCAGCUGAGCGUGCUACUGCUUGAGCCACAUCCCCAGCCCCUAUACUUAUUUUAAAUAGGGUGAUUUUAAAAUGAUUUUCAGUUUAUCAAUUUAAAACUCAAGGAUGUAGAAUUAGCAAAGACAAGGUAUGAACUAGGGGAAAUUAAACUAUAUAAUUAACAAAAUGUUACUGUAUAGUUUAUCAGGAUUAGAUUUAAGUUUGAUGUUCCUAAUUGUGGACUAGGCAGUGAAUUUUAUUAAUGUUAGAAAGGUACUUUUUAUAGUCCAUUUGUAUCUAGUCAGUGUUUUCAUUCUAUGACUUUCCUGUGAACUUGAGGUAGAAAAAAACUCCUUGAUAACAUUUUUACCCUAAAUCUUUGCAUUUUUAAAGAUGAACUUUAAAAAUUAAUUUAUUCUUUUAACAACAUAAAUCAAAGUAGACUACUACACUAAUUAAUUCUUAGAUUUGUAGGUGAGUUGUAAAAAGUUUACCGUUGCAUUUGUAGGACUUGCUGUGAAAAGGAAUUAUGAGGAAACUUUUUCUUCAAAAUACUUUAGUGUAGUAUGAGAUGUCCCCUAUAUACAGGGCAUUCACGUGAUAAACUUAAAUAUCUGGAACAUAGCCAAGAAACAUGCAGAAAGUAAAAAAAAAAUAAUAAUAUUUUGAGUCAUCAAAAUCAUUGUUAUAUGGAGUUCAUGAACAGGAAUUUAUAUUCCCUGUUCACAAUGAUGACUCAGAGUCUGUUGACUAUUAAUUUGAACACGGUUCUUCUAAUUUUUAGGGUGUUUUUUAAUAAUUCCUACUUGUCAACAGAUUCCCCUUCUGGUGGAGUAGGGUAACUGUUUCUGGCCAGUUUAAUCCUAACAGCAGGAGUUAGCCCUAGAGUGAAGAAGACAGGAAAACUAAAAAAUGUGAACACAAGAACUCAGUUGUGUUUAAAUAGGACUAUUACUUGGAAAAACUGUGAUAAAUGUUUAUUUAUUUCAAGUUUCUCUUUUUGUUGACAUUUUCAGUAUAGUUCUCUCCUCUUCCUCUCAAAUGCUGCACAUUUCUCUUUCUCUCUUCUUUGUUCUUUCUAUUUUUAAAUUUUUUUCCCAAAAAUUGUAAAUUGGAAAGGUUCUGAUAAAUCACAUUGUGGUUUAAAAAUAUUUUCUUAAUAUGCCACUUUGUUUUUUCAUUAUCUAAUUUGGUCUCUUCUCCCAGCAUUUUAUAGUACUUCUUUGUAUCUUAAACCAUUUGGAGAGGUGAAGAAAUGAAUUGUCAGUCUUUCCUAACCAGAAAUGUGAGUUUAUUCAAGAAAAAUUCUUAACUGCUUGAAGUUAUUUUCUUAGUAUCACUUCCUUAUCCAUCUGCAGUGGUCUGUAGGCCUGCUUCAAACACAUAGUUGUUGACAAAAUAAAGAGAGGACUUUUAAGAUUAAUUAUUAGACCAAUAGCAUAUUGUUAUAUCUGGAAAAAGAAAUUCUUUUAAGGCAUACUAUUUGUGAAUAUUUAAGUGCUUAAAUCAAAUUAAUAAGAAUAGUUCAUGGGAACAAAAACAAAUGAUUAAGGAAAAAUCCAGGCAACGGGUCCUAUCAUACUUCUUAUCUUUAAGAGUAUCUUACUACUAAUAUUUACAUUAUCAUGUUGCCUUACAUCAGCAUGAAGCUGCUCUGUUCACCACCAUCAUACAAUCUCAAAGUAAGCAAAUAGAAAUAGCACAAAUAGGAUGGGAUUUUUGAACAUAUUUUUACUUAAAAAAAAAAAAACCUACUAGAAGUUUGAUUGAUAGUAAGUAUAUGCAGAACGAUCACCAGCAAAUGGGAUACAAAUUAUUAGGUUUAUUGCUGGAUGAACAAGUUGCCAAAGCUCUACCAAGUCUGACCUUUCUGCUAAUAACUUGCCUGUGGAACACUGCUUGGAUCCUUUUCUUCAGAUGAUAUUCUUAUUCUAACCCUGAAUGUAGACCUUGAAUUCUCCCUAUGAAAAGAGUUGGGUCAGCAGAACAGUUUCCAAGUCAAUAUAAUUAAUUUGCCACCUCAUUACAAUGCAGUUGUCAGACUAGAAGUGAGCGAAUUGUUUCCUACCCAUGAGUGCCCACAGUAGAAUAAAAAGUGCAGAGUAGGGUAAAAGGGGAGCAGUGCCUUCUGCAUUUUACCACAGAUAAAUACAUUAAAGUGGGUUUAAUAUAUUUCUCUCUUCUAACUCAAAAUAACUCACUACUGGAAUAUUGUUCAGCAAGUGUCAGGCUCUGGCCACUGGGAGGAGAAAACAAGAAAAGAACUCACGCAGCACUUUCAAGGGAAAAUUAUUGGCGGAAGCUACUCAUGUUGGUUGAAGUCAGGAAUGCUGGGAGAGGAGAGGACCUUCAACAACAUUCUUUCAUUUUGAAGGCAAUUUAAAAACAAAUAUUUAUUAUGUAUAGCUCAAUCUAUAGUUUUCACCUUUAUAUGAAUUCCUCAGUUUCAAAGUUUGUUUCAAGUUAUUUACUGUGAUUUUGUGACAAAUACUUUUUUUUUUUUUAAUUUUUUAUUGUGGGUUGUUCAAAACAUUACAAAUUUCUUGACAUAUCAUAUUCCACACUUUGAUUCAAGUGGGUUAUGAACUCCCACCUUCACCCCAUACACAAAUUGCAGAAUCACAUCAGUUACACAUCCAUUGAUUUACAAAUUGCCAUACUAGUGAGUGACAAAUACUUUAAACAAUUGUGAUUUUUAAAAGUUCUUUUGUGAACAGAUAAAUAUAUGUGUAAAAAAUAUAAAACUUUUGAUGUAUGGAGUCAUUAGAAGGAUGAUGAUUUUUAUCUAAAGGAAAAUAGUAUUUUGAAACUACCUCUUUUUUUCCCCUUUGUAUAACAAGACAAAAAUGAUAAUAUUACGAAUAAAUGUAGAAGUAAUGAGUUGUUUCAGAGACCUAAAUAGUGAUGUUGAGUAGUGAUGUAACUAAUGACUAAUGCUUCUUAGAAGCUUUCCAGUGAUAUACAAUUCCAUAACCUAAAAUAAGUUUAAGCAUUUACUGAGACUUCUUCAUAACUCGUUAAAUGGAGUUAUGCAGAUAAAAAAUAAAUAUGCAAGCAGCAGAGCUAUGGUAAAUCCUGGGAUCAGUUGGUACUUAAUUCUUAAUUAAGUACCAGAUGCUUAAUUCUUAAUUAAUAAAAUUUAUCAUUCUUGAAAUUGAAAUAGAGGAAUCAAGCUGUGUAGUAAUAUGUAUCUUUUGGUUAGCUUUCUGCUUUGGGAGAAGAAAUUCUAGAAAAAAUUUAUUUUCCAUUUUAAGACAUUUCUUAAAAUUGGACACUUUUAGAGAAAUAUCUUUAGAUUUUGAAACUUUUCUUUCUUAUUGUACAAGAUAAUUUCUUUUUUUAUGGUGCUGGGGAUUGAACCCAGGGCCUUGUGCAUGCAGGACAAGCACUGUACCAGCUGAGCUAUAAUUUCUUAAAUUCUGCCUUCAUACAGUAUACAUACAAUAAAAUUUGACCUUUGGAAGAGGAGUCACAGAAUUUUCAAUUUUAUCAACAUAUAAAUAUAUGAGAAAACCCUUUUUCCUAGAUUAUCUGACUUUUCAACUAUUCCUUUACUGUUUUUUCACAAUGUGAUAUAUGAAAUAAUACCAUAAAAACUUUGCAUGCAUGCAUAUGUGCACAUACACACAAACACGAAAAAUGAUUCACUAAAUUAAGCAACACUAGACAUAAAAAAGAAUCAUCUUGGUCAGUUUAAAAAAUAGUAAUGAUCUUCAUAUCAUUGGGUUAUAUAAGGGAGAUCGAUAAGUAGCAUUCCUCCAACAAAGUUCACAACCAAUUAAGAGUUAAGGUAAAACAAUAAAACUGAUAAAAGGCCAAAUGCUGAUAAUAUAAUAUUGUAUAAUAUGAGUUAUACCAUUGGGCAAGUUUCUUAGUAUUGAAUCCCAGAAUUAGACAGACUAGCCCUCCCACAUUUGUUCAACAGUGGCUACCUCAGUUUACUGUGGGUGGGAGUCCUCUUUCAGUGAAACUGAAAGCAGAGAGGGAAGGAACACAACAUGUAUUCUCUGUGGGCAAACAAACUGCCAGAAAAAGUGGAAGAUACUGAACUUCUCAUUUCUAUUUUGUCCUUUCAAACUCAUAAUCAAAUAAGUCAUAUUACUUACCAAGAAGAAAUGAGGGACUAGAAAGGUUAAAGGAGUAAUGCUAAUGGCAUUUCCUCCAUGUGUAAAGAAAUAUCAGGUACAGAGGAGUCCCCUCUUUCCCUCCCUUGUAUUUAAGAUCUUUGUUUUGUAAUUCUAGCUAUGACAGUAAUUUUUAAAAAUCAGUAUAAUUAACUUUCUUUACAUUUCUUAUCCCUGGUACCAAACUAGUUUCAUGUCUUAAAACACAUAUAGAUGCCUUCCACAGAAUUGGACUGUUUGCUGUAGAAUAAAGACCUUGGAAAGAACUUUUAGAAUCAUUAAGGAUCAAAAUCCCUUAGUAAAGAAAUAAAAUGAUUAGUAUACAAGGUUACAGAGUUGGAUAAUGGUAAUGCUGGAACUGUGUAACAUAAUUAUCUCUGAAAUCUCAGUGAUAUUCAGACUAAAAUAUUUUAGGGUGGUUAUAAAAGUGACCAAAAGUAGAAUCAGUGUUAGAAUUGAAGGAGAAAGGCCAAAGAAGCAUAGCUAUAUACAUCUAAUUAACAUUAAAUUUAAUUAAAUAAUACUAUUACUGCAUACCAGGCAUUAUGCUAGGCACUAGGGAUAGAGUUUUCAGCAAAAUGGCCAUGUUCUACCUUUGAUAUAUUAUUAACUGUGCUUAAUAGUGUGAGAGAAAACUUUUGGCUAUAUUAUAUUGUAUACAAAUGUAAAAGGCCAAUAGUUUUUGCAUUUUCAUUGUUUUUCCAUGAUUGGACCAACACCAAGUUAUAACUCUGUCCCCUUCUUAAACUUGUACCUAAAAAAAAAUAAGACAUAUGUAUAAUAGGUUAAAGUUUGCAGCUUCUGUGAAAUCACCUGAGGGAAAGAAAGACCCCAUUUCUAGAAGUACUUCUCUGGUCCCUCCUCAUCUGAAUUUCUGGCACUACAACCUAAUUCUUUGGGGUAAAAGACUCGUAAGCUGCAGCCUAGUUUUGUACAUUAGCAGGCAAACUCUAGAAUGCAAAGUUCUUAUCUACUCAAACAUCUCUAAAGAAAAAUUAAAGAACAGAUUUGACAUGUACAAGAAAAAUCACUAGGAUGCACAGAAGUGUGUGUCCCAUAAAGAGAUUUAUUCUAGUUGAAAAAUGUCAGACUGAAUGAAAUGGAGGUGUGUUUUAAUGACCUUAAGGUAAGAAAAAACAUUUAAAGUCAUUUAGAAUUAGUUUGGAGUGUUUUUCUCCUUUUAAGGGAUUUAUAUGGGGUCUGGUUUUUCUAUUAAGUUCUAACAUCACAUCAUGCAAACUUAUGUGAACGGUACAGAUUUUCUGUAAUUUAUGUUUUGGUGAAUAUGAACAACUAAUCUAUUGCAGGGUUUAUAUCCUAACUUUUCUUGCAUGUCACUGCCAUUGAAACUCGCAUGAAAAGCACUAACUACCUUCUUUCUCUUCUCCCUGAUUUGCUUCAAGGCUGCCAGACAGAUCAAGGAUAGGUAUGGUAUAAAAACUAUAUUUUAUUUAAGUAUCAAUAUUGAAGUCAGAAAUGAAAUUCAGAAAUAGUUUUUUAUUAGAAUUUUGGUUUAAAUAAAAAUGCCCAAUGGCCAAGUAUUUUUACAAAAUAAAGAUAUCUCUAUAUCCUCUUGGGGUAAUCAGUAAGAUUUUUUUAAAAAAAAUGUGUUUCAAGAACAUAGUUAUGGACAAUUAUGUGCUUCCAAAAGAAUUUCAUUUCUGGUAUAAUAAUAUAGUUAGUUUUAGAAAAGUUCUUAACUAGUUGUAUUAGUGGAGAGGGUACUAUUUUGAAUAAUUUAAAAAUAAGUAUUCCUGGAAUGCAUUUUCAUUGUUUUUAGAUUUAAAUAUAAGCAGAUCUUAUUUUCAGAGAAGUCACAGUAUUUUAAAAUAAGUCCUCAAUAGCUAAAGUUCUUAUACUUCACUCUUUAACACCUUUGUAUUCUCAUUCUAUCCUGUUCCUGGUGCCAUCUCUUUCUGUUUCUAAUGCCAUCACUAUCUAGUUUAUGUUCUGUGGGAAGAGAAAAUUAUUAAAGACGUUAGCUUAGAAUGUUUUUCUCAUUGGUAGAGGUAAUAAUAAAAAAGAGAACUUAGCAGUUGCAAAAUGAAUAUAUCAGAAUGCUUAAAUUGCUGCUGGCUACAUUUGGAUUGUGUUCACACAGCAGGAAUGGAUUUGGUCUGCUUGACCAGUCAUUGAGCAUUGUCUGUAGAGAGAACAUAACUUAAGGUUCUUCAUCUGAGGAUCAUAAGAAUUUCUGAAAGGCAAAGCUCUUCAAACAUUAUUCUGAAUCUUAUAUUAAAUUGUUGUUCAUCAGAUAAUUCAUGAAAAUACUCCUUUUGGAUUGUAUGAAAAAAACCAGUGUAGCCAUUGUUAAUUUUUGCAGGAAUUUUCAAUUCUGGUUUCUCUUAUUUUUUAAUUUGACUAGAAGGCAAGAUUUACACAGUAGUAAAAGCAUUUUUAGCACAAAUAUUAAUUUUUUAUCUUUUAUAUUUUACAUCAGGUAGUAGUUAAAGGUAUAGGUUGUUCUUAUACAUCCUGGAUAUAGAAAAAAGAUUAUGAGAAGUUUUUAUUUUAUUUUAUUUUUUCAUUGUUUUUUUUAAGAGACAAGGCCUCAUUGUGUUGGCCAGCUGGACCCAAACUCCUGGGCUCAAGCAGCCCUCUUAUCUGAGCUUCCAAGUAGUUGAGAUUAUAGGCACAUGCCACCAUUCCUGAUGUGAUUAUGAGAGGUCAAAGGUGAAACAUUAGCAAUAUGAGUAAUGACUAAUACAAUAGUUUAUUAAUGAAGUAGAUUUGAGUUGUGUCUGCUGGAAUUUGCUAUGAGCAAUCCAAAUUCCAUUCUGCCUAGAUUAUUUUUCCUGUUUAGCUACUAUUCUGUUACAUUCUCCUCUGGUUCCUUAUUUUUUGUAUUAGAAGUCACUUCCUAAUCAGACUUUGGGCUGUCCAAAGACCUUGUGAGAGACCUUGCAAAAUCUUCAUUUCAAGAUUCUGUAUGGUUUUGCUUCCCAGAAUUCUGUCCUUAUUCCUGAUCUCUUUCUCUUUGUCCAGAUUUGGCAUAAUUUUAUUUUAUGAGCACCUUUCAUGACUGUAUUCUUCACUGAAGCUUGACUUUACUUCCUCUUCUCAGCCAGCAGGCCAGGAUUCCUUAUUUCUGUUAGGGAAAAUUUCACUUUUUAAUUUGUUUUGCUCAAAGUUUAUAUAUAUAUUUUUUUAUUUUUUGGCUACUUUCAAAGUAUUUGCUUCCUGCCUGAGGAGUAUUUCUGGGUCUUAGCUUAAUUAUUUAAACACGAUUUUAGCUUCAUAAAACCCAGAUUUCCCUAAUAUAGUUUCUGAUCUCUCAGAAAACGAGUUUCUAGAAUUCCAUCAUUACCUUUUGUAGUAUGAAAAUAGUUUUAAAAUAUAGUCAUAAUGAAAUAUUGUUUCAUCAAGCUAAGAAGGGAUUAUUCUCUUAUGUAAAGAUGAAUUUUAAGGAAGAGUUUAAAAUCUGAGCAAGGAAUCAUAUUUUUAAAAAUGACCAAAUUAUAUUGUUGUAUUAUGUGCAUGUACAAAGAUGUAACAAUAAAUUCCACUAAAAAUUUUUAAAAUGAACUAAAAGUAUAUUGAAACUUCAGUAUCAUUUGCUAUGAUUUAAGGUAAAAGAAUGGCAGGAGUGAGAAGGAAAACUGAAGACUGAGAAAUAAUACAUGGCAUAUUUCCAAAAAUUUAAAAUCACUGGUGUAUAACUUAGGGAACUUGGUAAUUUGGGAAGAUGAUUAGUUGAGAGAGAGAGUGAGUGAGUGAGUUAUUGCUGGGUGUGAUGGCACACUGAGAAAGGGGGAAUCAUAAUUUUAAGGCCAGCCUCAGCAAUUUAGUGAGGCUCCACACAACUUAGCGAGACCCUGUCUCCAAAAAAAAAAAAAAUUAAAAAGAGAUGAGGAAUGUAGCUUUAUUGGUAAAGUGCCUCUGAGUUCAAUUCCCAGUAUACCCCCCACAAAAAAAAAAAAAAAAAAAAAAAAAAGGAGAAAAGGAGAGAAUUAUUGGUUCUUGGAAGAGAAGGAUCAUGAAGAGGAGAGGCAAAUUAGGUUGUCUGAGAAAAUUAAAUGUGUUCAUGUGUUUUAUAUAGUUGCUUUAUCUUUGCAAAAAGAAGGAAGCCAUCCUUGAGUUCAGCUGAUACUAUUAGAAGUAAACUCAUAAGCAAGUCAAGGUGAAACAUGCUUAACCACAUGAAUCUCUAGAGAUGAUUUAGAAAUUUGAGAUUUGUAAUUUGGGCUUUGAGGCACAUUUGUUUAAAUAUAUUCAGUUUAAAAAUAAAAGAUAUUGAAAGAGUGUAGCAUGGUUGCAUAUUUGAAUUGAUUCAUUUGAACUUUUAAGUUUUCAUUGACUAGGAACCAGUUUUAUUUUAGGCUUUGCUAAACCUUUCUAAUCCACUUUUGGUAGACAUUCUUUUUGUUUGUACUUAUAGUGAUUAAAUCAAGUUUUAUAGAUUUUUCAGGUUUCAUAUUUUAAAUUUUCUAAAAUACUUUCUGAUAAUUUCCCUCAGCAUUUCUCGUUAAAGAGUCAUGUUGUUUAUCAGGCUUAGAAGAAACCAAGUAAGUUCAAACCCAUUCACUGAUUUAGAGAGUGUUUAGUAAGAACCUAUUUUAAUGUAACUCUUACUGAUGUCUUCAAAGGAUACUUGAGACUAUAAAGAACAACAUACAAGACUAAGCGUUUAUUCCUAACUUCUUGAUAUAAUUUGAAAUUUAUUAUUUGAGAAUAAACAGCUUAAUGUAAUAAGUGUGGAAUACUAGCAUUAUAUUUGUCAAUACAGUAAGCAGUCAUUUUGAGUUCUCUUCCCUAUAAAUUGAUUUUAAUGUAGUACUUUCUUUUUGGUAAAUAAAUCAACUGUUUAUUCAUUGUUGUGUAGUGAUUACUUUUUUAGUUGUAAAUAACUGAAAACAGCAACAUUUUGACAUUUUUCAUUUCCAAAUAAGUGAAUACAUCUCUGUCUUGGUUAGAUUUGAUAGAUCUGAUUGACUAGGCGUGGCCUGGUUCCCUUUGUUCUUCCAUCUCUAUUUACUUUCUCUCCCAAAUUAGGUACUAGGAGAAUGCAUUCAUGAAUAGUGCUUCUGUGUACCAUUCUUUGAUCAAAGAUUAUAAAGGACUUUGUAACACCUGUGGAAAUUUACUGUUAAUUUGAAAUAUAAUGAUAGUAAAAGGGUUUUUUUUGAUCUCUAGUUUUAAUUGAAAAUAGUUUCCUUACACUAUUGACAAAUUAAGAUCUAGCUUGGCUUCAUUCUUUUUUUUAACUUCACAUUCAUCUAGUAAGUGUUUGUUGAAGUCCUAUUAUUUCCAUGGCAUGUAGUUCCAUGGGGCUGUUUCUCUUAAUAUCCUUCCAUGUAUGUAGCUAAUGCUGACAGAUCAGUGACCUCUGCUGGUAUGAUAUUCACUGGUCAUGAUUUCACCUUUUUCCUUUCUCAUCCAUGGCAUGUCUUUAACAGGUACUACUAUACUAUACAAUAUUAUAUCCAUCUGCUUCAAUUCUUGUUGUAGGGCACACGAUGUAGCUAUUACUACAGGGGAGAAUGUUUGAAUCAGGUUGUAUAUACACUUCACUAUUUGGCAUGUGAAAAGGAGUGGGGGUGGCAUCAGGAGGUCAGUAUGAUUGAGUGUACAGAGGUUCAGAUGAAGGUUGGGUCUGGUAAGGAUUAUUUAUAUGGGAUAUUUCUUUUAUUGAUAUUGGCACAUUAUACGGUUGUAUAAAACUGGAUGGAAUUGCUAAGUUAUCUUAGAGGUCUUUAAAAGGCAUUUUUCAGAUUUUUACUUAAUUUUCAAAAGACAGAUUUAUAUUUGACUGUUCUAGUCUCUGAAAUCAUUAGAAUGAAAUAAUUUUUGUCUUUUCAUUUUAUACAUUAAAUGAUUUGAUACUUCUUGUUCUUCUGUUUUAAAAAGUAUAUUUGUGUUUACCAUAGAGUCACAAUGGCUUCAGCCUUUCGCCUUUCUUUGAAACCAAAGGUCAGUGACAGCAUGACUCACUUAAUGGUGGAUUUCUCUCAGGAAAGACAGAUGCUGCAAACUUUGAAGUUUUUGCCAGGUAAACAGCAUGUAUUACAUGUACAGUUUUUAAUAAAAAUUUUUCCUGCAAUGCUUUUCUGUAAUGAACAUUGGUAUAUUAAAGAAGCAUAGUGUGAUUUUUUUUCUUCAUUCCACUAAAUAUUUAAAUUUGGUAGUCUUUAUUUUUAGAGAAUUAUUUUACUGGUAGUAAAUAUUCUAUUUCAAGAAUACCAUUAAGGAGUAUCAUUUGAUGGUUAACAGUGGGUCUUUAGACCAAACUUUUUUAGAUUUGAAUUUUGCUGUAUACUUGCCAUGUAAUCCUGAACAAGUUAUUUGACUUGCCUCAUUUCUGCUUCUUUAGAAUGUGAUAUUAUUCUAGGGUUUUUGUAAGGAUUAAAUGAAUUGAUACUUCUAAGGCAUUUGUAUAAUAGUAUAUGGCACAUAGUUAAAGCUCAGAGGAUGUUAGCUGUUGGCAUAUUAUGUGAUUGUAUAAAGCUGGAUGGAAUUGCUAAGUUAUCUUAGAGGUCUUUAAAAGGCAUUUUUCAGAUUUUUACUUAAUUUUCAAAAGACAGAUUUAUAUUUGACUGUUCUAGUCUCCAAAAUCAUUAGAAUGAAAUAAUUUUUGUCUUUUCAUUUUACAAAUUAAAUAUAUAUGUAUAUAUAUAUAUAUAAAAACAGCAGAUUGUAUUACAAUUCAUAUUACAUAUACAGCACAAUUUUUCAUAUCUCUGGUUGUAUAUAAAGUAUAUUCACAACAAUUCAUGUCUUCAUACAUGUACUUUAGAUAAUGAUGUCCAUCACAUUCCACCACCUUUUCUAACCCCCUGCCUCCUCCCUUCCCUCCCACCCCUCUGCCCUAUCUAGAGUUCGUCUAUUUCUCCCAUGCUCCCCUUCCCUACCCCACUAUGAAUCAGUCUACUUAUAUCAGAGAAAACAUUUGGCAUUUUUGGGGGGGGAUUGGCUAACUUCACUUAGCAUUAUCUUCUCUAACUGCAUCCAUUCACCUGCAAAUGCCAUGAUUUUAUUCUCUUUUAUUGCCAAGUAAUAUUCCAUUGUAUAUAUAUAUAUGCCACAUUUUUUUUUAUCCAUUUAUCUAUUGAAGGGCAUCUAGGUUGGUUCCACAGUUUAGCUAUUUUGAAUUGUCCUACUAUAAACAUUGAUGUGGCUGUGUCCCUGUAGUAUGCUGUUUUUUCGUAUAGACCAAGGAGAGGGAUAGCUGGGUCAAAUGGUGGUUCCAUUCCCAGUUUUCCAAAGAAUCUCCAUACUGCUUUCCAUAUUGGCUGCACCAAUUCCACCAGCAAUGUAUAAGUGUGCCUCUUCCCCCGCAUCCUCGCCAGCACUUAUUUUUGUUUGUCUUCAUAAUAGCUGCCAUUCUGACAGGAGUGAGAUGAAAUCUUAGAGUAGUUUUAAUUUGCAUUUCUCUAAUUGCUAGAGAUGAUGACAUUUUCUCAUAUAUUUGUUGAUUGUACAUCAGAAGAAAGAUAUACAAAAAUUAACUAAAAUGCAUCAAAGACCUUGCAAUUAGACCAGAAACUAUGCAACUUAUAGAGGAAAGCAAAGGUCAACACUCCAGCAUAAAGGACAGGUAAUGAUUUUUUUCAUUAGGACCCCUAAAGCUUGGGACAUAAUGCCAAGAGUUAAUAAAUGAAAUGGUAUUAAAUUAAAAAGUGCCUGCACAGCAAAGGAAGGAGUAAUGUGAAAAAAGAACCUACAGAAUGGAGGAAAAUCUUUGUUAGCUACAUUUCCGACAGAGAAUUAAUACCUAGAAUAUAUAAAGAACUCAAAAAGGUUUGCACCAAAAAAACCACCUAAUUAAUAAAUGGGCAAAUAAAUUAAACAGAAACUUCAUAAAAGAAGAAAUAAAAUGGCCAUUCACACCAGUCAGAAUGUCAGUCCUCAGGAAUUCAAACAAUAAUAAAUGCUGGAAAGGAUGUGGAGAAAAAGGAACACUUACACUGUUGGUGGGAUUGUAAAUUAGUACAUUCACUAUGGAAAUCAGUAUGGAGGUUCCUCAAAAGACGAGGCAUGGAAGCACCAUACGACCCAGCCACAAUAUUUAUCCCAAAGAAUUAAAGUCAUCAUAGGGAUACAGUCAUACCCAUGUUUUUAUAGCAGCACAAUUCACAAUAGCCAAACUAUGGAACUAGCCCAGGUUCCAUCAACAGCUGAAUGGAUACAGAAAAUGUGGUAUAGAUACACAAUGGAUUUUUAUUCAAUCACAAAAAAUUAUUUAUUUGCAGGAAGAUGGAUGGAAUUUGAAACGAUUAUGCUAAGCAAAAUAAGCCAAAGUCAGAAGAUCAAGGGUCAUGUUUUCUCUCAUAUAUAGAAGCUAGAGAGAAAAAAGGAAAAGAAAGAUAAGGGGUGAUCUCAUGAAAAGCAAAGGGAGACCCGCAGAGUAGAGGAAGGUAGGCCAGCGGGUGAGAGGAGGGGAGGAAAGGGGAAAGCUCUGGGGAAAGAUAUUGAUCAAAUUAUAUUGUAACAACAGAUUCACCAUUAUGUACAAAUACAAUGCACCUGUAAAAAAGAAAAGUAGCUCCUUUUCAUUUCAAACUUGGUUUUCUUCCUAGAACAAUGUAUGAGUGUGCCUUUUCCUCCACAGAGGGUACCACUGUUACUAACAUCUGUUUAUCUUUCCUGAAAUAGUCUAAAUCUAUACAAACAUCACCACAUGUAUAUGCAGAAUCAGGUAGUUGCUAAUAUUUGGCAGUUUUUACCCUCAAAAAGAUAAAUUUGUUUCAUUCAGUCUAAUAUAUAAUCCACCCCCUUUUGAAAAUGGAAGCAUACAUAUACACUGUUAAAUACUUUCUCUUUGCCACUUGACAAUAUGUAGGAGUUCUUUCCAGAUCAUUAUAGAUCUACUUCAUUUUUAAAAAAAUAACUAGAUAGUAGGAAUUUAAUUAGUUCUUCUUGAUGGAUAUUUAAGUUUAUGGUCUUUUUCUAGUAGUGGCAAUGAUGUGGUAACAAAAUGCUUAGGUAUUUUGCAGAGAUAAUAUAUCAAUAUGUCUCAAGGAUAAAUUUCUAGAAAUGGAAAUGUAUGUGUAUUUUAAAUUUUAAUAAUUAUUUAAAUUGUCAAGGAAAUUUCACAAUUUAUGCUUCCCUGAAAAUAUUUGAAUGACUGUAUUCUUAUACAGCCACAGUUUUCAGAGUUUUUAAUUUUUUUCAUUCUAUUCUAAUAGUGACAUAUGGGUUAUCUGAUUGUUUUAAUUUUCAUUUCUUUAAGUGUGAAUGUAUUUAUCCUAUCUUCAUAAGCCACUUUAAAAAAUGAACUCCUUAUCUAUGAUUUUUCAUACAAUGGUUUAUAUUUUCAUUAAUGAUAUAUAGCACCUUUUAGUAUAUUAAGGAGGUUAGCCUUUGGUCCUAUAUGUGGCAUAAUUCCCUCUUAGUCAUUUGUCUAUUGGUUUAUAAUGAUUUUUUUUUCCUAGCAGAAAUUUUAAUUUUUAUAUAAUCAAAUAUGUCACACUUUUUCUUUGUGACUUUUAGGUUUUAGAAAGACCUUACUUGGACCUUCCCCAUUGCAAGAUUAUAAAAAUAGAUAUACUUACUUUUUUUAAUAUUCUUUUUUGGUUGUAGAUGGACACAGUACCUUUAUUUUAUUUAUUUAUUUUUAUAUGGUGCUGAAGAUCAAACCCAGUGCUUCUCACAUGCCAGGCAAGCUCUCUACCACUGAACCACAACCCCAGCCCCUAGAUUCAUUUUCUUAUGUUUGUAGCCUUUUAAAACUAGACUUUAAUAUUUAGAACAAUUUUAGAUACAUAGUAAAACAAUGGAAAGUAUGAGAAUUUCCCAUAUACCCACAAAACAUGCUUAGCUCCCUCAUUAUCUACAUCACCCAUCAGAGUGGUACAUUUGUUAUAACUGAUAAAUCUACAUUGACACAUCAUUGUCACCUCAAACUCUGUAGUUUACAGUAAGGUCCACCCUUGGUGUUAUACAUUCUAUGGGGUUGCACAAAUUUAUAAUGACUGUAGCCACCAUUAUAGUAUCAUACAUAUUAUUUUUAUUGUCCUAAAAAUUCUUUGUAUUCUGGGGCUGGGGUUGUGGCUCAGUGGCAGAGUGCUUGUCUAGCAUGUGUGAGGCACUGGGUUCGAUGCUCAGUACCGCAUGUAAAUAAAUGAAUAAAAUAAGGGUUCAUCAACAUAUAAAAAAUUUUUUUUUAAAUUCUUUGUAUUCUGCCUCUUUAGCCUUCUCUCCUCCCAACCCCUAGAAAAUACUGAUUCUCACCCUUUCCAUAGUUUUGCCAUUUCCAGAGGUCAUAUGGGUGGAGUCAUACAGUAGGUAGCCUUUUCAGAUUGGUAUCUUUUACUUAGUGAUAGGCAUUAUGUCCUCCAUGCCUAGUUUUUUGUAGCUUGAUAAUUCAUUUCUUUUUAGCACUGAAUAGUCCAUGUACCACAGUUUGUUUAGGGCAACUUGGUUUCUUCCAAGUUUUGGUAAUAAUGAAUAAAGCUGCUGUAAACAUCUAUAGGCAGGUUUUGUGUGGACAAAGGUUUUUCAGCUCCUUUGGGAAAAUACUAAGGAGUGAGGUUUCUGGAUACUAUAAUAAGAUUAUGUUUAGUUUUUCAGGAAACCUCCAAUACGGUCUUAUAAAGUGUCUAUAUUAUGUUGCGGUCCCACCAGCAAUGAAUAAAAUCCUUGUUGCUCUACAUUUUGUUGCUUUACAGCAUUGGUACUGUAGUGUUAUUUCAUUGUUGUUUUAAUUUGCAUUGCUUUAAUCAUGCACCACAUGAGGUAGAGCAUCUUUUCAUAUACUUCCUUGUUAUUUGAAUAUCUUCUUUGGUGAAGUCUCUGUUUAGAUCAUUGGCCUAUUAUUUUUUAAUUCUUAAUCUGAUAAUUCCAUCACCUCUGCCAUAUCUGAGUCUGUUUCUGAUUCUUCUUACAGUCUUUUCGGACUGUAUUUUUUGUCUAUAGUAUGCUUGUAAUUUUUUCUUUAUAGCCACAUAUGAUAUAUUAGGUUAAAGAAACUGUUGUGAAUAGGCCUUUGAUAAUGUGAUGGUAAGUUAUGCAGGGAUAGGAAUCAUUUUAUGGUGUUUUGAUUAUGUCUCAGUCUUUUUGUGAAUCUGUGCCUUUGAACUAUGAACUUUACAGGUGCAUCUCAGUAGCCCCCACUCUUACUUGCCCUUAGGUAGAACAAGAUGGCUAGAGUGGACUGGAGUGAGACUGCUAUUUCCCUUUGUCCUGGUGGAGUAGCCAGCUAGAGUUUUUUAUUUCCUUUCACCCAGCUCAGUUAGGCUCAGAUAAUCCCAAAGGGGUUAGACUCUGGUUAGUUUUUUUUUUUUUUUGAGAGCAGAUCUUGUUAAGGAAAACAUAAGCUCUGGUGUAUUUCAAAAUGUUUCCUUUUCUACUCCCUAUGGUAUAAAUAUAAGUGGAUUUUCCUCCAUUGUUCCUGAUGACAACCUGUUAAGCUCUUAGAGGAAAAAUUCACAAAUAGUAGGUGCCCUUCUACAAUUGGAGCCACCUGGGGUUUUUGACUCAAACCUACCCACACUGAGCCUCCGGCAGCUCAUCAAUUACAGUUUAGGUAUCCUUACCCCAGCACUGGUUUCUGCUUAGGUUUUUGCUCUAGUAAAUUGUGACUCUCUGUAUUUACCUGUUUGUCUCUUCAUAUUGAGGCCUUUUAAUCUCAAGUCUCUUACAGGUCUAAGAAUUAUUAUUGAUUUUUCAGUUUGUUCAACCUUGUUUGUUGUUAGAAAGGGGUGGCUACUACCAGAUUUCUUAUGUAUGUGCCAGAUUGAAAAGUAGAAGUCCCUGGGAGUAAAAUCUGGGUAAUUAGCAUAUGUAUCAUCUCAAGCAUUUAGAAUUUGUACUGGAAACUUUCAAAACCUUUUGCUGUUUUAACAGGUCUAAUGAAUUAUUGUUAACAAUAGUUACCCUACCUGUGAGGCACUGGGUUUGAUCCUCAGCACCACAUAAAAAUAAAUAAAGGUAUUAUGUCUAUCUACAACUAAAAAAAAAUUUUUUUAAAGUACAGUGGGGUAGGAGGGAAGAAUAGAAGUUCAUUGGAUUAGACAAAGAAAAAUGAAGGAAGGUGGCGGGAUGGAAUAGGAAAGAGUAGAAUGAAACAGACAUUACUUUCCUAUGUACAUAUAUGAAUACACAACCAGUGAAACUCUACCUCAUGUUCAGCCACAAGAAUGAGAUCCUAAUUAGAAUUUGUCAAGAUACACUCUACUAUCAUGUACAUCUAAAGAACAAAUUAAAAAUCAGAAUAGGGCUGGGGAUAUAGCUCAGUUGGUAGAGUGCUUGCCUUGCAUGCACGGGGCCCUGGGUUUAAUCUCCAGCACCACACACACAAAAAAAGAAAAAAGGAAAAAAGUACAGUAUGUUCAGAAAUAACAAGUCAUUCUCGAUUAUUUAUCCUUAGCAUGUUUAGAAUUUACCUUUUGCCAUCUAAGAUUUUAGUGAACGUUGAAUAAGAAAAAUAGAAAACUUUAUAGAUUUUUUUAUAGCCUAUCAUUAAAAGGUGCUUUGAAAAUAGUUUAGGUUGGUUUAUUUAUUCACUUUUGAAUAGUUCAAAAGCAGGAUGAAAAAGCAAAGCUUGGAUGACAAACAUAAAUAUUUUAUUAGUGCUAUAAUAAAUGAGAAAUUAACUCCCCUACACACAUACUUUUGUUUCUUCUCUUCAGUCCCUAAAGCUCCAGAGAUAGACCCAGUGGAGUGUUUGGUGGCUGACAACUCUGUAACAGUAGCUUGGAGAAUGCCAGAAGAAGAUAAUAAGAUUGACCAUUUCAUACUGGAAUACAGAAAAACUAAUUUUGAUGGACUGCCACGUGUAAAGGAUGAGAGAUGUUGGGAGAUAAUUGAUAACAUUAAGGGUACUGAAUAUAUAUUAUCAGGUAAAAUGACAACAUCUCAACAGUCUCCUUAGAAAAUAACUGUAAUUAUGAAAAAUUUGUUAUUUUAAAGCUUAAAAUUAUUAAGUUCUUUUUAUCCGAGCUGAUUUUUUAGAUAUUUAUUGUAGAAGUAAAUUUGUUUUAAAAUAUCAAGAAAACCUUUGUUUUAAUUACUUAAGGACAUUUGUAACCUGCUAAGAUAGGAUACAUGUAAAAUAAAUAUGAAGCGGUAUUCUGAAAAUAAUAUUUCAAGAGUUACACUUAGUUUUCCCUUUGUUUUCAGAUUAUAUAAAAAAGCUCUUAAUUUUUUAGAUGUACUCACUACCCCACAAUUCACUGGUACUGUAAAUAUUAUCACUUUUGUUAUUUAGUUUUACUUUAAUGUUGAUAGUUAAAGUAGAACUGUGAUUUGGUUUUAGAAAUUUUUGUGUUGGCCUUUUGAAAGACGUUUUGAAAGAUAUUUCAGAAUUAUACUCCAUACUUGUACAGUUAUGUGAAAAUGAACCUCAGUAUUAUGUAUAACUAAAACAAACUAAUAAUGCAAAAAUAAUGGUUAACAAACAAACACAAAAAUAUUCCCAGUAUAGUGGGGACUUUAGAUAUUUUGGGGGCAAAACCCUUGGGAGGCUGAGGCAGUAGGAUUGUGAGUUCAAAGCCAACCUCAGCAACUUAGCAAGGCCCUAAGCACCUCAGCAAGCCCUUGUCUCUAAGUAAAAUAUAAAAAAGGCUAGGGAUGUGGCUCAAUGGUGAAGCAACCUUAGGUUCAAUCCCUGGUACCAAAACAAAAACAGCAACAACAAAAAAACACAGUGUUUCAUAAAUAUAAAAAUUCCUGAGAGCAUCUCUUUUCCAGAAAUCGAAUGUGUUGUUUUGUAAAUUUGUGACAUCUCUCAUUAUAUGAAGUACUGCUUUUCAUGACACAUAAAAGAGUACCUUUUUAUCCCUGAAUUAGGAAAAUCAUAAAUUGUAUAUUUUACUUCUUCUGAAGAAACUAAUAGGUAAAUCAUGAUUCCUCUUAUUGCAGGCAUUAUCACCAUUUUAACAUAAAUUUAUACUUUCCUUAAAUAAAGAGAUACUUCCAAGGAGGAAAAAAAAAGUCUGAAAAUUCAUUCUAAUAUUUUGGGGGAUGAGUCCUUUAUUUUGUGUCUGAAAACCAUUUCAUUUUUUCAGGCUUAAAAUUUGAUUCAAAAUAUAUGAAUUUCAGAGUGCGAGCUUGUAACAAGGCUGUGGCUGGAGAGUAUUCUGAUCCAGUGACCUUAGAGACCAAAGGUAAGAUUAGUAGCUAUUUAUACAACAUGAAACAUCUAAAGUUAUUCAAGACUUCGUGACAGGAAGCAUUGUGUGGCUGAAUUCCUUCCCCACCUCCUCUACCACCCCACCUCUGACUUUCCCCACAAUAAGAAUUAUAAGGCAGGGAAAAUAGGACUAUGGUAGUGAUUUCCAUUUAUGAUUGUAUUCAUAUGAGCAAAUAGACUCAUAGACUUGAGAUGAUAGUGUUAACAUCUAAGAACCUAAGUCAUUCUAGUCUCUCAGAGUAAUUUGGAGUUAGUGGAAACACCCUAGUAUAACAUAUUUGAACACAAAUUUUUGCAACAUUUACUAAUUUGAAGGCCAUAAUGCCAAAGUUCUUCCCAAUUGUGACAUAUAGUAAUUGACUAAACUCUGAACAUUUUUAUAGGUACUUGGAACCUGGAGCUUCCAUUGGCCUCUAGUUUAUAUGGCAUUUGAAUAGAUUUGUAUGCCAGAAAUUUGAUAUGAUUUGGAGGAUGAUAUAAAAACAUAUCAGAAUAAAACAAACUAUGAGGCUUGAAAAUUAUUUUGUGUUUUACAGUGCUGGGAAUCGAACCCAGUGUCUUACACAUUCUGGGCAAGUACUUUACUCCAGCCCCUAACGGUCCAUAAAUUACUGAUGAGACCAACUCAGAAAAAUGUCCAAAAAUAUCUUAAAAAAUAGGUGUAAUUUGAGUAGUUUGUUUGAAUUAGAAAAUGUUUUUACUUGAGAACUACAGAUAACGAAGAUAUGCAAUUACUUUGAAUUACAUGUUAUCAAACUGAGAAGUUACUGUGGUUUUUAAUGAGAUGUUUACCAAAGUAUUGUCAUACUUACAGGUAAUAAUCUUUUCUGUAUUACUUGAGCUGUUUUUAGCCCUUGUCAAAUAAAAUUGCAUUAUUAUUAUAUUCACCCUUAGGAGCAUCAUCUUUGUAUUAUUCCUUUUCAUUAUGCUUUACCAAACUUGGACAUAAACGUGGUAAAUUAUUGAUUUUUAUGCACAUUCCCUAAAUUUAGAAAUAUGAAUAGCUGGCUUAUGGCUUCCUUGGAGCUGGGCUGGCUGCUUCUCUUAGCAAUAUCUGGAUCUCACUAGUCACUCUUGACCUUGGGGUUUGUAGAGGGAGACUAAGUUGAUUAGUCCUUUGAAGCAUUUUUUACUGUUGAGAAAACCCUUUGAGGUGUGGGACCAGACUGAAACGUAUCCUUGAGGGCCACUAAUCAUUGAUUCUGAUCUUCAGGGAGUAACAGAAUAAAAUUCAUUUUACAUGGCUGUGGGUCACGGAUUUUCUGGAGUAUUUUUCACAGCAUUGGCAUGACUACAAAUUAGAACAAGAGCUCCAUAGAAGUAGUUCUACUUUUUAAAAAUUACAUAUUAAACAAUUGUUUACUAAUUUGACCUGCUGUAGUCCUUUUUGGCCAACCAAUAGAAAUAAGCCUGUGGACAAAGAUUGAAGGGAAGGGAAGAAAGAUGGAGAUUAAAUAGUUGAGGCCUAUCAAAGUUUCAUAUCCUGCCACUUAUAGUUCUUGGUAUGGAAAAUAAUGAAUGUUGUUUAUUUGUUCCUUCAGUAUAUUUGUUCUGGCAAGAAAGUUGUCAAAAGUGAUGAGUAAUAAUAUUUCUUAUGGCUAGAAUUUUAAAGAUGUGUUAUCAUUUACUUCCUUGUAAGGAUAAAUGAUAUUAUGUUAAUACAAAAUUUUCUAUAGCCUCAAAUAGUAAUGACUGUGAUAUAAUUUUAUAGUAUCAUGAAAGCAGCUACUAACAAACAUAAAACAUCUGGAUUCUGAUUUUGGUACCCUGUUUUCACAGACUUUUAAAGAUAUGGAAACCAAUAUGUUGUAUAUUACAGGGCUUAUCCAGGACACAGGAUCUCACUUUCAAAGAAGACUUUAUUUUUUAAUAAUGAAGCAUUAUUUCUUAUCUUAGAGAGGCUCUAUAACUUUACUGAGGUUCAAUAAAAGAACAAUGCCCCUCAAAUAGAAAUUAAAGAUGAUACCUCUUGGAUUGAAACCUAGACCUUCUUGUUUGUUUUUCUUUUUCUUUUGUUUGUUGUUUUUAAUUACCCAUAGCAAUAGGACUCAUUUUGACGUAAUUAUAUGCCUUCUUGUUUGGAUGCUGUGUUAUUCGAUAAGUCUGAUCACGAGUGGUUUGAAGAUAGUACUUUUUUCUUGCUAUCCUUGACUCCAGAUUGCUGAUGACCCUUUUUUUCUUCAUUAUAACAAACAUUAAGGAACAACUUUAGGAGACCUUCUUUAUCCUUAGAAUUUUAAUGAGCCCUUGGGAAUUGAUGGCACCCUCAGAGCUAAAGCCUAUUUUUCUUUCUCAAAAAAAAAAUGUAGAUAGUGCCUCGAAUGCACAAGGCCAUGGGUUCAAUCCCCAGCAACCCUCACCCUCCUGCCAAUGUAGGUAGCCUGACUUGCUUAAUAACUUAAAUAUAGAAGUUAACUUUGCUUUCUUAACGGCAGUUCAUUUUGGAAAUUGAGAGUCUCAGUGUUAAUCCUAACUUUUUAGUAACCUGCCUGUUAAGAAAUCAUUUCCAUUUUUACUGAAAAGCUUCAUUGUUUCUAGUUUCUCUAAAUUUAUUUCUGUUUAGAUGAAGGUUUUAUAAGUUAUUAACUUCCUUGUGUAGUAUGACAUUUACUAGAAACUGUGUGGUCAGUAGAUUUGUAUUGAGAAUGUGGUUUUAUAAAUAAAGACAAUGAACAAAGAACUUGAAGUGUUCUUUAUAGAGUGGAGGAUAAAAGGAUUCUUGAUUAACUAGGUAAACUUCAGGCUCUCCAUAUGCUUUUUUUGUUGUUUGGUGAUUUACACUUCACAGACACACUGAAGCCUUAGCUAAAUUAAGUAAUAUACUUAAGUGAGAUAUAUUGUAAGGAGUAUUCCUUCAAUGAAUAAUUAUCAGAUAUUUAAAUUUUGGAGGAAAAUGUAACAGAAGCAGAUUAAUAGAUAGCUUUCAAGAUAGAGCUUCUAGAAAUUACAUUUUUAAAAUAGAAGAAACUACUCAUUGUACAGCUGUUAAUACAUUUCAGUGCUUUUCCCUGAGUUCUAAAAGAGGGAAGCUUAAUGCACUGAUCUCCUAAAUUAGCAGUUUGACUAAGCAAGUCUUGUGAAUAGUACAGAUACUUCCUGAUAAUACCAAAUAAUCUGAAAGGCAUAACUUUGUUUCAUGAUUUUUUUGUUUUUUGUUUUUGUUUUAUUUUUAUAUUAGUGGAACUUUUCACCCUUCUACUCUUUGCCACAUAAAUCAUUUAUCAGCUAGAUCAAUUUUCUCACUCUGCCAGGCUACCUCCAAUUUCUUCAUACUCAUCUUAAUUUGAAACUAAGAAGUGUUUUAAGUAUGAAAUUAUUAAGUAUUAUACUGUCAGAGAAGACAUGUGUGCGCCAGACUUUUACCCUGUGAUUUUUUUACCCUGUGAUUAUAAUAUCACUUUUUCCUUCUUAAUUCCUACCAGUUCCCCUUCCUAUUUACUCAAAACAAUCAAUUGAUAACCAUCGGGUAUUCUAAUAACAGGAAAUUGAGGAUACUGUGUGUUGAUAUAGAUUCUUGUAGAACGAAUAGCAGAAAUACCAGUCCUGAACAUUGAAGGCCCUGAACAUUGCAUUGUAUUGUGUUAGAGUACGGGAUAUUUAGAGGAGAAUAAUGGAAAAUAAGUGAGGAAUUGUAAAUUAAAACCUAAUCAUUGAGAACUUUAAAUGUUAACAUUAGUAAUUUGAAUUUUAUUCUCUGUAUACAGUGUUGAAUCAAUUGACUAGAGAAGUUAUUGCUCAUAGGUGUGCUUCAGAAAGUGGAGAUAUAUAAUAUUUUAUAUUGUCUCGAACAGCACUGAAUUUCAGUUUGGAUAAUUCAUCAUCCCAUUUGAACCUGAAAGUUGAAGAUACCUUGGUAGAGUGGGAUCCUACUGGAGGAAAAGGUCAAGAAAGUAAAAUCAAAGGGAAAGAGAACAAGGGCAGGUAACGUAGCUCAUUAAAUCUGUUAUAUGGAUAAAUGCUUGUACAUUGGUUCUUAUUUGAUAACAUUAAAAUUCUUAUUCUGUAUACCAGUAUGACUUAUGAUACAUUAGUAAUUCCAAAGUGAAAAAUAUAACAUUGCUUGUCAAUACAUGAAUCUGUCAUUAACAUUUUCACAUUACUUUUUUCUUAGUUUCUUUCCUAAUCUCCUUAUACUUUUAAAAAAUUUUAUUAUCCCAUUUCCUUAAAGUUAUAUAUACGGUAACUUGAACUAAUUAGAUGUUCCUAGAAUAAUUUCUGAAUAUUGGGCUUAUCACCUAUCUCACCUAAAAGUCUGCAUUAGAUGACAACUUUUACAGUUUAUAAAAGCCCCACAGACUUGCCUGUGAUGGUGGAACCCAGUGAAUCCAAGAGUCAGGCUCAAGAAUCUUUUGUUAUUGUCAUAACUUACCUAAAUAAUGUCAAAGUUUGGGAACUUUUUUCUUUUUUUACACAGGAAGUUUUUGCUGAAGAUGAAUAUUUUUGUGAGUUCUAACAAUGAAUUUUUAAAAAAUCCUCAGCAGGCUUUUAAUCUAAUUUUAUUAUAAGAAGUUAAACUUAAUUUGUAAAGCAGUCUCUUAACAGUUGCCUAUUUUUAUCUGACAGUGUCCAUGUUACUUCACUGAAGAAACAUACAAGGUGAUGAUCUAUGUCUGUCUAGUUUUAGGACUUAGUAUAUCUAGCUUGGCUGAGUAAUUUUUUCUUUUAACCAGUAAACAGAAGCCACUGCAGCAGGCUUCAAAGCUAAAAUAUUGCUCUGUGUAGACUGUCUGUAUUUUUGUAGCUUAUGUUUUGAAUUUAUAGCAUUAUAGUGUGCUGCUUAUCAUUUGGAUUAUAUUGUAUAAAGAUAACAAAAUAAGCUUUAAAGUCUUCUUUAAUUAUUUUUUCUACUUUAUUUAUAACUGGCAUCUUUCCUAUUGUAUUGAGUUAAAUAUAUCUAACAUUAUUGCUUUGCUUUUUUUAAUAUGUUUAGUUGUUGAUGGACCUUUAUUUUAUUUAUUUAUUUAUAUGUAGGACUAAGAAUUGACCCCAGUGCCUUACACACAUGCUAGGCAAGUGCUCUACCACUGAGCUACCAUCCCAGCCCUUGUGUUUUUUUUUUAAUAUUUAUUUUUUAGGUUAGAUGGACUCAACACAAUGCCUUAUUUUAUGUGGUGCUGAGGAUCGAACCCAGGUCCCGCCUGUGUUAGGCGAGCGCUCUACCGCUGAGCCACAAUCCCAGUCCCCAGCCUUUGCUUUGCUUUUAUUUGUAUUCAACACGAAGCAAGUUUGAAAUGUUCUGUAUUUUAUAAUAAUCAUGCAGCUUCCAAAGUAUCAAGGUUAAGAAAUAAAAGUCACUGCAGAAAUUAUUAGGACAGUGUCAGAAAAAAAUGAAUAAUUUCAAAUUACAUGGUUAAUAACAUGUUUAUUGAAGAUACCGUAUAUCUUUACCAGAAACCAGAAUAUAUUCUCUUUUCAAAGUUACCUCCACUCUUCUUUUCAGUUUAUUUGUUCAUUAUUGAUAAAAGUGAUUUCACAGUGUGCUAUAAAUUAUAAAAUGCUGUUGGGUUUAAUAGUCUUACAAAGUUUUAUUUGGUUACUUGGACGAUUUUUAGACUGCUUUGUAUUUAGCAUUGCAGGUUAUAUUUCUUUCUCUCUUUUCUCCUUUUAAAAGUAUUUUAUAUGUAGGCCACUUCCGGAAUGUUAUACAGGUUCGGAUCCCUUAUUUGAAAUGCUUGGGACUCAAAAAGUGCUUUGGAUUUCAGAUUUUUUUGUAUUUUAGAAUAGUUGCAAAUACAUAAUUAAUUAUAUUUGGUGGGGACCCAAUUCUAAAUCCAGAAUUCAUUUAUGUUUCACAUAUACCUUGGUGGGGACCCAAUUCUAAAUCCAGAAUUCAUUUAUGUUUCACAUAUACCUUUAUAUAUAUAUGUACAUAGGUAAUUUUAUAUAAUAUUUUUUUAAUGUAUCUAUAUUUUGGCUGUGUCUUGUCACAUGAGCUCAGGUGUGGGAUUUUUUUAUUUGUAAUUAUGUUGGUGCUUAAAAAGUUUCCAAUGUCAGAGCAUUUCAGAUUUUUGGAUUAGAGCUGCUCAAACUACAUAUAUUCAUUUACUUUAAAAAAAAAAAAAAAACAUGGUGUCAUUAAAAAAAAAAAAACUUUUAUUUUGUUUAUUUAUUUAUUUAUUUAUUUUUAUGUGGUGCUGAGGAUCAAACUAAGUGCCUCACACGUGCUAGGCAAGUGCUCUACCACUGAGCCACAACCCCAGCCCUCUUUCAUUUUUUUAUUUUUUCAUACAUAAUUGUUCACUGUUAAAUGUGUGCUGAAUGUUAUGGAGUUUAUAGGGAUAAACACUGUUCUUGCCUCAAGAAAUUUGCUUUAACUCAUGUAGAUAAGAUUGCAGAAAAAAAGCAAGAUAAACAUCAUGUGUAAGGAUAAAUGUGAAUAAAAGGGUUCAGAGGGGAAAGAUGUCCAGAGUUCUCGGGUACUGCGGUAUUCAUUUAGGACAGUGAGCCAAACUGAAAGUCAAGCUUUUGCUGAUUUAUGGUGAUAAGUAAGAAGUCAUGAAGGAAUGAGUGGGUUCCUUCAGUGUUCCAUUUUUCCCAGCAAAUGACACUAGUUGGAGGUCCAAUGACUCAACCCAGAUCACAGUUAGAGGGUCUUCUCACUGCCAGGAGGUUCCAAAUAGAAAACUUCUGCUUUAUGGACUUGAGAGCUAAAAAGGUAGGGACAAGAGGGUUAAAAAUGGAAACAUACUAAGUGAAAGGUCCUUACCGCCUUAUUUGCUCUUAAGGAGGUCUUCCUGAAGGUAUUUAAAAAGAAUCUCAGUAUAGGGUUUCCUUCCCAUGGGGGGCCUUUGAAUAGAGUGACAAGGCUAGGAAUGCAAAUAGCUCACCGUUGGGGAAGAAGAUGAAAUUGCAACUUCCUGUAGAAAUCAUGAUGCCCUAACUAACUAUGCACCAAGUCUGGUAUAAGAAGGGCAGCCCACCCUAUCCUUUGUCCUACCCCUGCAAAUCCUGUCACAUAAAGCCUGUGUAAUUGCCUGUGAUUGAGUAUGAAAGGAUUUUGGCCUGGACUGGAUUGCUAAGAAAAGUUAUUUAGAUGGUAGGAUUUGGAAGACCUUUACUAAAUGAAUGGUAUUAAAUUGCUUCUUGGGGAAGAGGGAGAAUUUGUGGUAUUCAGCUUUGCAGUGAGAGUGGGGAACAACAAGAGGAAAAACACUUAAGCAGACUGAGUGAGUUUAAAGAACCCUUUGGUACAUUUGGUUGUGUAAUACUCUCUAGGGUGAGAAGGGUAGGAAGGCGGACUAAAUCAUUUGUAGAUAAUAUGGAAGUACAUGUUGAUUUUGAAGUAGGGGAAUAGAGCUAAGUUUAUCUUAUAAUAGUGAACAAGAUGAACUGGAUAACAGAAAGAACAUUUGGGAAACUGUAAAAUAAUUUGACCCAAGGAACCUUUAUGAAGCGAGGUGGGAGGUCAUGUUUUUACUUAAGAUGUUAAUAACUAUUGUACCUCUUGCAAAAAUGUACUUAAGAGUUGGAAUGCAGCAAUGGAAGAGUAACCCUCUAACUUUUCUCUGAAACUCAACUGCCAUUCUCAAUAGUUACGACUGUUUUUCUUUUCUCCAUGCUUCCCUUUGUUUCUUUACUACUGGUAAGUCACAAUUUUUUUUCUUAAAAAAUAUUUUUCUGGCUAUCAAGUGAGCUCUUAUAUUUUGAAGCAGUGCUAAGUAAAAAUUUUGUNCUCAUGAGGCUGAGGCAGGACUAUCUCAGGUUCAAAGCCAGCCUCAACAAUUUAGCAAGGUCUGAAGCAACUAAGUGAAAAACCCUAUCUCUAAAUAAAACAUAAAAAGGGUUGGGGAUGUGACUCAGUGGUUCAGCACCCCUGGUUCAAUCCUGGUGUCAAAAAAGGAAAGGAUUAAUUAAAACUACUUAUUUUACAUAAUUAUCAACAUUCAGAGUUGAAUUAACUUGGAAGGAGGAAGAUUAAUGUGCAAUUAAUAUUUUGGUGACUUUGUGAAUUGGGCAAUUUUUGGUGAGCUAUCCUGAAUGACUACUCAUUUUUUUCUAGAGGAGAAUUUCAUUUUAGAUAAGUGGUUUCAAUGAACUUUUGAAGAAUGAUGGUAAAUCAUACUAAACUCAUUAAACAGAUAGUCUGAAGACUUAAACGUUUUUGAUACAAUUUACAAACCAUGUUAAGCCAGUCUUAUUUUUGACCCCCUUUCUUCUUAUGUCUUUCUAUUGAUGUAUCAAAAACAGUGGUUUUUAUACUUUUUUUCCCCUUUUUGUGUACAACAGAGUGGUUUUUUCAAAUGAAAUGUUUCCAGAAGCCUGAGCUGAAAAGAGAAGAGGAUUGCUGGUUCAAGUAGGGAAGGAGCCCUAGAGCAGGUGUCUUCCAGAGUCCUAUAGCAGCCUCUGUGGCAUCUGUAUAGUUCAGGACAUGGUUUGAAAACUACCCACUUCGAAAUACUUUGUCCCCCAACAGAAGAUAAAAAUAAUGCUACAUUUAAAAGAAAAUUCAGAGGAAAUGACUGUUAUCUUUUCUCCUUAGUUCAAGAUAAAAUACUUGAAAAUACACAGACCUUUUAUAAGGUCUUUUGUGUGUGUUGGGGAGCGUAUUGGUAAUUUAAUCCAGAGUUGCUCUACCACUGAGCUACAUCUUCAGUCUUUUUUAUUUUUUGGGAUAGGAUCUAACAAAGUUGCUGGUCUUGAACUUGUGAUCCUUCUGCCUCAACCUCUGGAAUAGCUGGGAAGGUUUUUAAACAUUCUUGAUUAGCUUAUAUGAAAAGUAUCAGAAAGAAAAUUGUGAUGCAGUGUUUUUUUCUUAAUGUCAACUUAAGAUGUCAUUGACAGAAUGUAGAAUUUGAUUUCUUACUACUUAAUGACACCUCCCCCCAAAGGCAUAUACAAAUGUUUAUUUUGGAAAGUAGAUAACACAUUUAAGAGAGAAUGGGAGCAGUCUCAAAAAAGAGAUGCCUUGGGGUAAAGCAAGGAAUAUUCCUAGGGAGCAUGUGGGUUAUCUCCAGAGGGAGAGACAGCAACCCAUUAGUGUGGGCCACUCAUGUUUAUAGAGGGCAAGUGCUAGGGGAUGAACUAGAGGUGGAGCCAGAGUGGAGCUACACAGUUUUGCACCAGUUUCCCUUUGCUUGUGCAUUUCCUUAACAUGCAUGGGCCAAGGGCAUGUAGCUCAAGAUUGACAAUUGUGCUUUCUGCAUGUCAAUGGCUAGUGGGCAUUUCCUUUAAGACUCUCUCUCUUUAUCCUAAAUCCCUGUGUCCUAUGUAAUGACUUUUAAUAUUAUAUAAUAAGUAUUAUCUUAGAAAACCUGGUUAAAUCAAACUUUAAGAAAUUAAAACGUAUUUAUUCAGAAUAAUGGGUAUAAAUUUUUCUUCUUUUUUAUUUAUUUGUAUCCUCUGUUUUGGAGAAGGUCCCCAAAACACUUCUAGAUUUCUUCUACCCAUCAAAUGUUUGUUCUCUCCCUUCCCAAUAGGAAGCAACUACUAACCGCCUACCUGAGCACAAGUUUCAGAGAAAUUUUAAUCUACCUGUCCUUAACCACCUCAGUUCAUGCUGUCUGUUCAAAUAGAAUUUAUAAUUAAUUACUUAAGUAUCUUUUUAAAGAAAUAUCUUUAUAAAAAGAACUUUUAACAUCAUUUUGGAAGAAUUAAACCAACUCAUGUAAAUGCUGUAGGUAUAAAGUGCUGCUUAAUAUCAUUUACUAGAAUGUAGACAAAGUGGUCCUGAAUUCAUUGUUUAAUUCUCUGAAACUGCUUAAUAAAUCUGCUAACAUUGACAACAUUUAAGUAAUGCAUAAUGCAGUCACUUAAUCAUGUAAAAUGACUUUAAAUCGUAUCUUUAUUCUUAUUUUGCAUUUUUAUGGGAUUUUUAUUACAAUAUUAUUUGAUAGCUUAUUAAAAUUUACUAAGUUGAUUUCUCCUUAGGAAGAAAAAUUCUAAUGCAAAUAUAUUGAAAAAGUCUUAUUUUUUCUUUUUAGUAGUAAGAAUAUACAUUUCCCCUAAAUAACUUUAUCAUAAUCUUAUCCCCAAAAUUAUUGCUUUUUAAAUGCAAUGAUUUGGUAUAUUUAAAUAUUAUUUUAAAAACAUGUUCGGGCUUUAAUCUUUUUGGAGGUUUUAGAGCUAGUGAAAAGCCUAAUCCUGUCUAGUUUACCAUAAUGCAUCAUUUGAUAGAAGAGGUCAUUUUUUAAUAGCAGAAAUGCUUUAUAAUACUUGAUAAGCUUGUGCAUGGAUUUGUACAAGUGCUUUUUCUCUUUUUAAGAAGAAAAGAUCGAGAUCAAAAAUACCUACUGCUAAUAAAAAAGAUUAGUUAUGAUUAUAAGAAAUAUAGCUUUCCAUUGCUUUUUUUAUUAGUGCAUAUUAAUUUUACAACAUGAUGGGUUUCAUUGUGGUAUAUUCUUGACUUUGCUUUAUUUAAAUUUAAUUACAAAUAUAUAAGCUGUAACCCAAUUUCUUUCUUGCUUUUUUUUCUUUCAGUAAAUCUUGUCUCAUUUUGGCAUUGUUUCUCAUUUCAACUGUGUGUUCUUUGUAUAAAUCUUGCUCAGUCUGCAUGACAUUAGUGUUUUCAGCCUGCUUUGUAUUAAUGGCUUCUUACAUUUGAAUGUUUAUAAUUGGCAGUUCUCUUCAAUAAUAAUUCAAAUUAAAUGAUGCUGUUUCUGCAACAUAAUUAGAAAUAUUUUUAAACAUUAUUUUCAUAAUAUGUAAUUUUAAUUUAUGAAACAUUUCCAACAUAAAAUACUUGUUUUUCUUUUUUUUCCUAUUUAUAUAGAAGUGGUACACCAUCCCCCAAACGGACAUCCGUAGGUUCCAGGCCACCAGCAGUAAGAGGCAGCAGAGACCGUUUCACUGGGGAAUCAUACACAGUGCUAGGUAGGAUAAAACAAUAACUCUUAACAGUCUCAAAUUAAAGGCACCACAGCCACACUGAUAAAUUUUCUACUCCUCAGAGCUAGAGCAGUUUCCUGUGUAUUGAAUGAAUCUUUGCAGAGGUUUAUCCCUAUUGAAGCUUAAUUACUUGGGGGCUUUUGAAAUUUACUCAUUAGUCAUACUUUUAAAAUUCUUAUUUUAACUUACUAGUGAUUCCUAAUAUAAGCAUAACCCUUGAGAGGUUGGUAAGGAAGAAAAUUCUGAAGAAUUUUGUACUCAGGGAAAAAAAAAACUACAAAAGUAAAGUUAAGCAAGUACUCUGCAUUUAGUGUCUGUAUGUUAACAUGAUUAUUUUCAAAGAGAAAUUGAAUUUAAUUUUUUGAAUUAAAUUUGUGGAAUGAAUGAUACAUAAGAAUCUGUGUAAUUCCUGAGAAAGAGAUUAGAGUCGAGUAUCUUUCUUAUCUUUUGUAGGAGACACUGCUAUUGAAAGUGGACAACAUUAUUGGGAGGUCAAGGCCCAGAAGGACUGUAAAUCCUAUAGUGUGGGAGUAGCAUACAAAACUUUGGGGAAAUUUGACCAAUUGGGAAAGACAAACACUAGUUGGUGUAUCCAUGUCAACAACUGGCUACAAAAUACUUUUGCAGCAAAACACAAUAAUAAAGUCAAAGCUUUGGAUGUUACUGUUCCAGAGAAAAUAGGUGUAUUUUGUGAUUUUGAUGGGGGUAAGUUUACUUACUUUUUCAUAAGUCAUUUCAUCAUAACUACUUAUGUUUCAGUACUUUUCAUUGGUAAUCACCUCUACAGAAUUUCUGUUAAUAUCAUGGUAAGGACAUUUUGGCCAACUAGGUUUUGAUCACAAACAUAAUCUCAGUACUAGAGUUAGACUGGAAGGGCAUAUUAUGUCUGCCUGGAGCUCUAUAAAAGCACUCAUUUAUAAUAUGCUAAGUCUGAAAUAUUUUGCUAAUUUUAGUCUUAAACACUAAAAUUUUUCUUGUUUUUAUUCCUUCCUUACUGUUCUAUUACCCGUGUAUAAACAAUGGUGAAGUCAGAUUUUUUGAGUUGGAAUAAACCUUGGAAAUUAUCCAGUCCAUCUUCCACACAAUAUAAAAUUUGUAUUACACUAUUUCUGCAGGAGUUGCCACUUCUUUGCUCAAAUAACUUUUUAGUCUGAACAUUAUUGUCUUAGAAGUCCUGUUUCUUGGGAGGGCUCUUGAUUAGGUUUUUCUAAAAUGAACUCACUUUACCUCUCUGUAAUUUGUAAAAAUGUUGUUUUUAAAUUCUGACACCUGAAUAAACACAGAAUUAUAUUUUGUAAUUCACACAAUAAUUCUUAUUUGUUAAAAUGCAUUAAAUUGAUUUCUUUUCAAAUCCUUAUAAUCUCCUAAAGUGAUAUACUAUGUCAAUGCAUUUCUUAAAACAUUGGUUUUACAAUGUUUCUUUCCAAGUUGUCACUUUAAGCUAAUAAUGGAAAAUUUUUAUCAUUUUAAGUCACAUUGGGUCCAGACAAUCCCAUGCUGUCAACUUAAUCACUCAAAAAAGGAAAAAAAAAUUAAUUUGGGCCAAUUUAUUUUUAGUGAUGACAUGUCAGUUUGGUACAUUCUUUUUUACUUAUUCCCUUUGAAUAAGAUGAACCAUUUUCUACAGAAUGACAAAUUUACUGGUGCACUUUAAAAAAUAUAUAUUUUCAGCUACCAGGACAAUAUUUGCUUAUCAUCCUUUCUCCUUUCCCAUAUGGUUAUUUUAUAUAGAUGAUAGGGAGAAGUAAUUUUAGCUAACAGCAUAGAGUACAAAGGGGGAAGCUGUAAUGUAGGAUGUAAUCAGAUUCUGAGAGCCUUGAAAAAAUGUUUAUAGACUAGUCUUUAGUAGUGGGGAGGGUUGGCUGUGUACAUUUUAGAAAAAUAUAGUCAUGUGAUGAUAAUCUUAUAUUAGAAAUAUUAGAAAGUAAGUGAUUAAAAGACGGAAGAGAUUACAAAAAUAAAGAGCAUAAGACGUUUUAGGAGUUAGUCUAAAGUAUAAGGCAUGACCAUGUUUAUUUUGUUAACUAUUAAAUUGUUAUUGCCUGCUAAGUGCUUUUAACACAGGAAGUCCUAAUAAGUAUUUGUUAAGUGAUUGGCAACAAAAACCCAAGCAGUUGGAAAUCAAGAAUGAAAUUGAUGGUGUAAAAUUUAUAGAACUUGGUAACUAAAUAUAGAUUGGGGGAAGAGACAAAGAAGAAUGGAAGGCAGCUCUGAGGUUCCAGCCAGUGUGACAAAGAGGAUGGCAGUGUCAGUGGGUUAAGGAACAGAGAGAGUCCAGUGGAAAACUGAGAUUAUAGCAGGACAACCAUGUGACAUAUUUAGCAAACAUUUAGAAAUUCUUGAACUCAGAAGUAGAGCUGAAACUAAAUAUUUGAAGCAGCAGCACAGAGUGACUACUGAAGAUUACACAGAAUAAUAUGCUUGAACAUUAUUGCACUGUUGUUACUAACUUUGCAAUCAUGUAGGUUGCUUCAUGUUUUGAGAUAAUCAUAUAUAUAAAGCACCAAGUACUUUAACAGUAUACAUAAAUGUUAGUUUCUUUUUCUUACUCUCUGGUAGCAACUGGUUUAUUAAGAGAGCAUUUCAUAAAUGCUCUCUUAACACAGACAAAGCAGCUUUAAAGCAGAAUAGGAGGAAAAGGAAGAGAGAGAAAGUAUCUUUAGGGUUAGGAUUCAAACCAAGAAUAUAGUCAUUAAAGAAAGGCUUCGCGAACUAACAGUCCUAUGGAGGUCAUCAGAUCAGAUUAGAUAGGAGGUCAGAUGGAGUUAUUUUAAGGCAUGAUCCUGUUGAAAGACAGACUGUGAGGGGAUUUGAAAAUUAACAAAGCUGAAGCAGUGAUGAAUAUACUAUGAUUUCAGAGACUGGAGUAUGAGUCUGGCCUUAAGUAGUUAGUAUUUUAAAUAUAGUAAGCCUUAAAUAAAUAGAGGAUUUGGGUAGAGUAAAAAUAAGGAGGAAGAAACUUCCUUGUUUUUUUACUGGGCUCAUGAAAAUUUUUGUUAAAUAAUGAUAAAUAGUUUAUAGCUGAAUAAGUACAACAGUGUCAGAUUAUGGUGAAACAGUAUGGAGAUCUUAAAAACAAGGGGAAGAAGAAGAAAAUUGGAUUUGGGCAUUUUCUUAAGCACGUUCACUGAUUUUUCUAGUGAAAGUAAGUUCAAUCCUUAGAGUUUGUAAUAAAAAAUUAAUGCAAAGAUGGGCCUUAAGUUAUUAUUUUUGCAUGACUACACAUUAGACUUUAUUAGAGUUAUAAUUUCUUGUAUAAUAAAUAAAAGGCUUUUUUUCCCUCUUCCUUUUAGGUCAACUUUCUUUUUAUGAUGCAAAUUCAAAACAGCUGCUGUAUUCUUUUAAGACAAAGUUUACUCAGCCAGUACUGCCUGGUUUCAUGGUUAGUACCUAAUUUAUAUUUUAUUUAGUUUGACAACUUUAAGAAGAAUAAUCUUUAUUAUUUGGGAAGCAAACAUCCUAUUUUUUUCUUCAUAGUCAUCUCCCUUUCUCCAUUCCACUCUCUGAAAUAUGCAAUUUUUUCUGUACAAUUUUGGUAUACUUUGUUGAAGUCAAUGUUGAUAAAUAAAGGUACACAAAUCAUAAGCAUGUAGUUUAGUGAACUGUUAUAGGACUGUAUUUGCUUUUGUAACUAGACCCUAGGAUAAGAAAGAGAACAUUACCAGAAUCUCAGAAGCCCCUGUGCCCAUUUCCAGUCCCUAAUGGCUCGUCUCCAAAGUGUAACCAGUACUGUAAAUUUAAAUACCUUAAGUUCAUUUACCACUUCUUUAUAUAUAAGUGGAAUUAUAUCUUUCUGACUCCAAAUUAUAUAUGUGAGGUUUAUCCAUGUACCAUGUUGUAAUUCCUUCAUUCUCACAGUUAUAUAGCUUUCCAUUAUAUGACUAUAUAAUAAUUUACCCAUUUUAAUUUAGUUGAAUAUGUGGAUGGUUUCCAUUUGGGACUGUAUGUGUAUAUAAUUUCAGAUCUACUCAGUUACAGACUUACUUAUAUAAGAAAAAUUCAUAUUUCAUACAAAUUGAAACAUGGAUUUGAAUUCCUUAUUUUUAAGCAAAUGUUGUUGUUCCUUCCAACACCUUAACAUUCUACAUUUCUCCAUAAAGUUAGGCUACUGUGGGAAAUUCCAAGAUCCAGUUAAGGUCACCAUUACUUUGGUGAGAACUUUCCUUGAUGUGGGGACUCCCUGUAUAAAUCAGAUGAUAUAAUUCAAGUACAGGUUCUGUGGAGUGUUUUAUGUGUGUAGUCUUUCAUUACCCCUAAAUAUAAUCCCCCAAUAUGAAGAGGAAGUAUUUAGGAUAUAUAUGGGUUGAAAACACAGUGCUUUAAAUCUCAUGACAAAUAGUAUUUUUUUAUUCUAGAUACCCUAAAAUAUUAAACUUAAUGCUAACAAAGACUCCUGGUUUUUCACUGAAAUCAGAAGUAAAUAGUGAAUAAAGUUAUUGCUCAUGGAAAAAUUAUUAGAAGAUAUUAGAUGGAUUGUUUCUCUCUUUUUUAUUUUUUUGUUGCCUUUUUUUUUUUUUUUUCACUUUACUACAAAUCUCCACUGUAUUGGAUAUUUUGGGCUGUUUUUCCAAAUUGGCCAAUUAGAGACAAAUUGUUUACCAUAUGGAACUCAGAAGAGAUUUUUUUUUCAAUUCGUAGAUGUACUUUUAUAAAAGAUAUUUCACUUGUAAUAUGAAUCUAUUUCAUGUAGAUAGGUACUGAGUUUAUUCAUUGUUAUUUUCAUUCCAUAUAAGGAGACUAAUUACACAUCUGCAUCAUAAGAUGCUUUACAAAAUUAUUUUAAACUUGUUUUUUUCUUCUUUUAAGUCUUUUGUUUAUUACGUAAAUGAGUAUUAAUAUUUUCAUAUAUGAUUAAUUUUUAAAGCCAGGUUUAUGAGCUAUAAUUUAUAGUAUUGUAUAAUUCUGUGGGUUUUGACAAAUGCAAAAACAAAACCACCAUCAUGAUCAAGAUAUAAAACAUUUCAGCACUAUAGAAAAUUUCUUUAUAUUCCUUUGUAGUGGACGCCUCCCAUUACACCCAGCCCUAGUAAUACGUAAACCAUUUUUAGUCCCUGUAGUUUUGCUGUUUCCACAAAGUCAUGUAAAUGGAAUUGUAAGGUAUAUAAUCUUUUGUUUAUGUAGCAUAAUGCAUUUGAAACUCAUCCAUGUUGUUGUGUUUGUUAGCUUUUUUUUUUUUUACUGCUAAGCGGGUUUUCAUAUAUGUAUACACCACAGUUUAUUCAUUCAUUCACCAGUGGAAGGACAUUUAAGUUUUUUCCAGUUUGGGGCAAUUAUGAAUAAACGUGCAGUAAACAUUCACGUGAGGUUUUUGUGUGAACAUACAGUUUCAUUUCUCUUGGGCACAUAUCUAAUAUAUGGUAGGGUUCCUGAAUUACAUUGUAAAUGUAUGUUUAUAGAUGCAAAAAUUAUUAACAAAAUAUUGGUAAAUCACAUAGAAAAACACAUUUAAUAGAUAUUGCACCAUGAUCAAGUGGUUUUCAUCCCAGGUGUGCAAGGUUGGUUCAACAUAUGCAAAUCAAUAAAUGUAAUUCAUCACAUUAAGUAGAAUUAAGGACAAGAAUCGCAUGGUUAUCUCAAUAGAUGAAGAAAAUGUAUUUGACAAAGUCACACCCAUUCCUGUUCAAAACACUAGAGAAGCUAAGGAUAGAAGGAACUUAUCUCAACAUUGUAAUAGCUAUAUAUGACAAACCCAAGGCCAGCAUUACACUGAAUGAAGAAAAACUGAAAGCAUUUUCACUGAAAACAGGAACAAGACAAAGAUGCCCACUCUCACCACUCCUAUUCAACAUAGUUCUUGAAACUAUAGCCAGAGAAAUCAGGCAAGAGAAGGAAAUUAAAGGAAUACUAAUAGAAAAAAAAAAAAAAAAAAAGCUCAAAUUACCCCUGUUUACUUAUGACAUGAUCCUCUACUUUUUAGACCCAAAAAACUCUACCAGAAGAUUUCUAGAGCUGAUAAACACAUUUAGUAAAGUAGCAGGAUACAUAAAUCAAUCACUUUCUUAUGCUCUAAUAACGAAUCUGCUGAAAAAGAAAUUAGGAAAACUGCUCUCAUUCACAAUAACCUUUAAAAAAAAAAGUAAAAUAAAAUACUUGGGAAUUAACCUAAUGAAGGAUGUGAAGGACGUCUACAUUGAAAACUAGAACACUGAAGAAAGAAAUUUAAGAAGACUUAGAGGAUGGAAAGGCCUCCCAUGUUCUUAGAUAUGCAGAAUUAAUAUUGUCAAAAUGGCCAUACUACCAAAAGUAUUUGAUGCAAUCUCCAUCAAAAUGACAUUUUGCACAGAACUAGAAAAAGCAGUUCUAAAAUUCAUUUGGAAAAAUAAGAAACCCAGAAUAGCUAAAGUAAUCCUGAGCAAAAAAGAGUUAUGAUGGAGGUACUGCAGGCAUCAUGAUACUGGACAUCAAAUUAUACUACAGAGCUAUAUUAACAGAAACAGCAUGGUACUGGCACCAAAACAGACAUGAAGACCAAUGGAAAUGAAUAGAAAAACAGAGACAAACCCACAUAAAUACAGUUAUCUGAUGGUAGACAAAGAUGCCAAAAACAUGUUGGAGAUAAUACACACUUUUUAAUAAAUAGUGCUGGGAAAACUGGAAAUCCACAUGUAGAAGAAUGAAACUUGACCCCUCUCACCCCACACAAAUCAACUCAAAGUGGAUCAAAGACCUAGGAAUUAGACCAAAAAUUCUGCAACUACUAGAAGAAAAUGUAGGCCCAAUGCUUGAACAUGUUGGCACAGGAACCAGCUUCCUUCAUGAGACUCCUAAGGUCCAAUAAAUAAUACCAAAGAUCAAUAAGUGAGAUGGCAUCAAAUUAAAAAGCUUUUGGCUGGGAGUGGUGACACAUGCCUGUAAUCCCAGCAACUAGGGAGACAGGAGGAUUGUGAGUUCAAAGCCAGCCUUAGCAGAAGUGAGACACUAAGCAACUCAGUGAGACUCUGUCUCUAAAUAAAAACAAAAUUGGGCUGGGGAUGUGGCUCAGUGGUUGAAUGCCCCUGAGUUCAAUCCCUGGUAUAGAAAAAAGAAAAAAAAAAUUGCAUGGCAAAAGAAACAAGAGUAUGGAGAGGGCCUUGAGAAUGGGAGAAGAUCUUUGCCACGUGCUCCUCAGGUAGGACGCUAGAAUAUAUAUAAAGAACUUAGAAAACAACAUUAGGAAAAACAACACAAUAAAUUGCCGCAGUCUGGCUGGGCACAAAUGCCGCAGUCUGGCUGGGCACACAAUCACGAGCCACCACACAGCUUGUAGAUUCAAACAGCAACUCUUUAUUCCGGAACUCACACCAGCCGUCUACAAUCACGUUCUGGGGAAAUCCACGUUCUCUGCCCAAAUCCACGUCCACUGGGCUUCUAUCUCCAAAAUAUAUUGUCUGAAUCCCGUGAGAACUCAAGGGGAACUCAGGCAGCAGGAUACGCCCUAUUCCCAGCAGGAAUAAUCUUAAACCUUAAACCUGGAACCUAAACUGGGAACGCCCUAAACACGAUUAUCUUAAAACCGGGAACACCCUAAUCUGCCUUGGUCCUUGAGCAAGGUCACGUACAUUCAAUGUCACUGCAACAUGUCAGCAACAUGGGGUACGCUGGCAAGGAAAUUGUCAUACCUAUUUGGCUAAUGGCUCCCAGCAAUAAAUAGGCAAAAGAACUAAAUGGACACUUCUCAGAAGAAAUACAAAUGGUCAUAAAUAUAAGAAAAAAUGUUCAGCAUCUCUAGAAAUAGGGCAAUGCAAAUCAAAACUACAUUGGUAUUUCCUAAUGGCAGUUAAUAAUAAAUGUUGGUGAGGAUGUGGAGGGGAAAGUAUACUCUCAUUGUUGGUGUGAUUCCAAAUUAUUGCAACCACUCUCACUUCUCAGUACGUAUCCAAAAGAUGUAAGAUCAGCAUAUUAUAGGAAUGUAGCCACAUCAAUGUUUAUAGCAGCACAAUUCCAACAGCCAAGUUAUUAAGCCAACUGAGGUUCCCCUUCCAACAAAUGAAUGGAUAAAGAAAAAUAUAUAUAUAUAUAUAUACACACACACACACAAUGGAGCAUUACUAAGCCACAAAAAAGAAUGAAAUUAUGACAUUUGCUGGUAAAUGUAUGGAACUGGAGACUAUAAUGCUAAGUGAAAUAAGCCAGUCCCUCAAAGUCAAAGGUAAAAUGUUUUCUCUCAUAUUCAGAAGCCAGUCCAGAAUAAGGGAGGAAGGGAGUGGGGGAGAGAAAAGGUGAGGGAAUUCCAUCAGAAUUGAAGAAAGAUUAGUGGACUAUAUUAAGGGGAUUGAGGGGCAGGGAAGAGGGACAGGCUAAGGGAAUAACAGUGGAAUGAAUCUGAUCUAACUUUCCUAUGUACAUAUAUGAAUAUACAGUCUCACCAUCAUGCAUAUCCAUGACAUUAAUAAAAAAAAAACUAAUAGAUCAGGAGAAUAGAGGGAAGGAACAUGGGGAGGAAAGAGAAGGAGGAAAGGGCAAGUACUGAGGACUAAAUUAGAGCAAAUUAUGUUCUUUUAUAAUUAUUUCAAAAUGAAUCUUAAUAUUACAUAUAAUAAAAAGAACCAAUAAAAAUUCUUUUUCCUUAAAAGCUUUGUAAAAAGCUACCAAAAUGUUUGCCACGGUGGCUGUACCAUUUUUGCAUUACAACAGCCAUGUUUAAGUUUUUCAUAUCCUUGUAUCAUUUGGUAUUGUCAAAUUUUUCUUACUGUCCACAAGCCAUUUUCUUACUGUCCAUAAGCCAUAUAUAGUGGGUUUUUUAUCCUGUUGUUAUUUGCAUUUUCCUACUGACAAAUUAUGUUGAGCAUAUCUUUUCAUGCACUUAUUUUCCACUUGCAUAAUUUCUCUGGUGAAGUAUGUGUUACAAUUCUCUACUCACUUUUCUUGGGAUAUUAAUUUGUUUUCUUAUUGUUUUAAGAGUUCUUUAUAAAUUUUGGGUAUAAAUGCAAAAAUUUUUGCAGAUGUUACCUCCCAGUUCAUAGCUUGACUUUUCAUUUUAUAGACAUUUCCAAAGUGAAGUUUUUUAUUUUCAGAUGAAGUCCAAUUUAUCCAUUUUUUUCCCAUUUGUGGAUAAUGCUUUGCUUAUACGUACCUAUACAUAUGCAUGGCAUACAGGUCACAAAGAUUUUCUCUUGUAUUUCUUCCUAAAGUUUUACAGUUUUAGGUUCUCUUUUUAGGUCUAUGAUCCAUUUUUAGUUAGCUUUUGUAUAGUAUAGUUGGAGUUUCAUGUUCUCUGUAUAUUGAUAUCCAGUUCUUCUAGUACCAUUUGUUGAAAAAGAUUUUAACUUUCUCAUUAUCACCUUUGUGCUAUUUUGAUUAAAUAUUUUUCUAAGUCAAUUAAAUAACUUUUAAAAGGUAACCUAUAAAUUUUAUAAUUUGAGGAUUGAUUUGUGUUUUGGGAGUUUAUCAUUACUGAGCCUGCUAGUUUUAAAAAUUUAGAAUGUUAAUUGUAUUAGUUAUAAAUUUUACAGAGCAGUAGAUUCUUUGGUUAAAUACGCUGUGUAGUAAAUACUGAAUGAUACAGGAUAUAAUUGAGAGUGAAUAUACAUAAAGAACUUGAAUUUUCCUUGCACAAACUAAUGAUAAUUUAGAUGGUCCAUAUGUUCAUAUUUUAAGCAUCUUGACUUUUUCAAAUCUUUUUUACUUUAUCAAAUCAGUAUUUUUUCACAUGCAAAGCAGUUAUAUCUUUCAUAAAUUCAUUCAUAUUUUUCAUAAUUAAUAGAACAUGGCAAGUACAUAUGGAUGUUGUCAUUUGCAGUUUUCUUAGAAGUCCUUCUCAAAAAAUUAUUCAAGUUCUUAUUGUUAAAAACACAGGGAAGAAAUCAAAUGGUUUUUAUUCUGUUAACACAGGGUUGUUAGAUUCCUAUGGUAACAUCAAAACCAAAAGCAAUGAUUGGAAUAGGGAAGUUGAUUCUUUGUACACUUUCCUUGGUUGUGAAGGUUAACAUCAGUAAUGAUAGCCAGUUUCUUUUGCACAGAUUGAUCCAGUUCAGUUUCUCAAUUUCUGCAGCCCUGAGUUUCCACUCUUGGGUUCAGCUUUGUUGGCUUCAGCUACCACAAAGACUUCCUUUUGGCCUUUGCAGCUUUAAAAGAAUACUGAGCCUCUCUACUUCCCCUCAGCUCAAAUAUGAAGGUUAUCAAUUUGGGAUCUGUCAAUUUUCAUAUGCAUGGCAUUUGCCUUUCAAAUAGAAAUUUAAGAAUCAUUUAAUUUCUUAAAAAAAAAAGAAUCAUUGAAUUUCUGAUUUGAGUUGAAAUCUGACUUGAGAUUUGUUUUUGUCUUUUCUUAGGUUUGGUGUGGUGGACUUUCUUUGAGUACUGGGAUGCAGGUUCCAAGUGCUGUGAGAACACUUCAGAAAAGUGAAAAUGGAAUGACUGGUUCAGCCAGCAGCCUGAACAAUGUUACUCAGUAACGCCUAUGCAGAAUGUUUACCCUCCCUCUUGACUGGGUGGCCUUUUCUGUGCAGUUACCUAUCACAGAAAUUUGUGAGUGGUGGAAAUCAGGUUUGCUAUGUUCUGCUUUAAGGCCUGGAAUCUCUUAGCUUAAGCAUCUAGUAUGAAGCAUUUACAGGAAUCUACUGUGCAAUAUCAUAGAAGCAAGCAGUUCUGGAGCAAGAAACUGAUGUUUUGAAGAGUAAAUAGGAAAGAAGGCAGUGUUUAAAUAUUUAUAUAGAAACUCGUUUUUGUGUUUCUUUAAUUACUUUUGUUCUUUUAAAAUGUUUAAUUACAUUUGGUAAUCCUAGGGCCUGAAGUGAAAGGCUUUAAAAAUUUGCUUUUCUUUCUUGACUUUCUUUUUUCCUAUCUCAUCACUACCUGUUAUUUAGUAUACACUAAAUCUUUAAAAUUACAUAGCCCCAGCCCCACCAAGGUUUUCUAAAAAUUGAAAUCAUUGAUUGGGGACAGUAGAAGUUUGUUUUUUUUUUUUUUUCUUACAAUGGUGUAUUUCCCCCUUUUAUAAAUAAGUUGAGUUUUGCUAAAUUAACCUAUUUACUGACUAGUUUUUAUCUCAUCUUCUACUUUCCAGAAUAUAUUGGUAUUUCUCUUGUAGUUAUAACUCCAAAUACAGAGUGAAUAUGAAGAAUUUAAAAAGCUUAAAAUCACCCAGAUUUCAGUUUUGUAUCUGCUAUAGUAACACAAUGGCAAAGGGUUUGCUCUGACUACUUUGCAUUCCAUCACUUUGAAUGUUCAGCAAGAUUUUUAAAAGCCUUAUGUUUUCUGGUAUUGUUGUCUACUUUAACCCUACCUUUAGUAGUUAUCUUUGAUAAAAUUCCCCACUCAUAUUUGGCACUGAUUGUAAUUAUACUCAUUUUUUUAAAAAAAUUAAUAGGAAUGAAAAAAUUUUUAACAUGGUUAAGGGUAGAAUACCAAAGGGAUGUACCUAAAAGUAUUCUUUAGUAAUUAUUUAUUCUUUUUAAUAAGAUGUAGGAAAGGUUGAAACAACUGGAAAAAAAUCUACAUAUCUCUGACUUAAUUGGUGUGUUUUUCAACCAACCAUUCAGAGGUUUUGGGGGUUUUUACCCCCUUAUCCUUUUUGCUAAAGUCAUAUGCUUUUUAAAGGGGUAUAAUUCUUCUAAAAAUCAACAUAGUCAUGUUUCCCAGCCUUGGGAGUGGUAUAUUUAAAUUUAAACAAUGAGUGGUAUUGAACAGAACAAAUCUAUUCUUAAAAAAUUGAUCAAAGUUUGUUACUCAAGUCCUUUGAGCUAAACUAAAAGUUAUAAUUACAGUAUUUAAGAUUUCCUUGAGCAUUUUAAAGAAAUUAAAAUUUAUAUUUUACUUAGUUUUUAAUUUCUUUUAUUCUUUCAUUCUCAUUUUAAAUAUCUUGUAAUAUGACAGCCUUCUUCUGUACCUUUGUUGCUUACAUUUGAGUUGUUUUCUAUAAAAAGACCUGCCCUCUUAAAAUUUACUGCUUACGAUAUGAUGUUUUGUUUCAUUGAUAAAAACAGAUGUAAAUGAGGACUUAUAUUUGACCUGGGGUAUUAUUUUCUUUUCUAGAGGACAGAUAUCCACACUAUUAUCUAAUAAUAGGUUGGUAAUUUUAAAGACUGUAAGGCAGUUAAGGGAAUAAAGUAUGUCAAUAGAUAGUCUUGAGUCUCCAAGUAUAAUUUUGGUUUUUGUUUGUUGUAUUUGGAAAGAAAUUUUUGGAAAGUUCUAUUCCCUAUAGAAGGGCUAUUCUAAGACCCAAGGAAACAGGAAUUUAUUUCCUUUCACACUCCAAAGCAGUAAUUUAGUGGAGUGGCUUUGUGUGAAAAGCUGUACACAGUAUAUUUUAGCAAAUACAAAACAAAAAAACCCAGAUGUUCUUGUAUAGAAUUUUUUUUACUAUUAUGUAUUAUAUAAUUGUCUUCUCAUUAAUUCAGUGCCUUUUUCCUCUAAGCAUGCUCUUUCUUCAUGCCUCAUGCAGUGUCAACUGAUAUUUAAGCCAGACAUAUUACAGUUGUGAGAGCCUUCUGUUGCAAGGGCAUGGGAAAAAUGAAAUAUUAAUUGGGCUGAAAGAGUGCAUACAAUUCUUUUUUGUGUUCUGCCAUCAUUUGGAAUUUGCAUAUAAAUUUUCUAACACUCAUUUGCAAAAUGUUCUAAUUUCAUUGGGAAUUAAUUACUAGCAGCUUUGUAGUAAUAAAUUCAGUAAAUCUGGAGUCCAAGCUCACAUCACAUGUAAUACUUGAUAUUAAAUUAUACCAUCAUUACAUCAAAAUUAGAAUCUGAAGGCUCCCUCUCUGCUGCUGCUUCAGGGUCUCUAAAUUAAGAGCAAAAUGUGAAGUGUUUUAGUUUAACAAUUUUAAGUUGGAUGAAAAAGUCUGUCAUCCUCAUUUUUAAACUAAAAAAUAAUUGAAUAUAGUGCCUAUUUAAAUAAUCUCAAAUAAGGUAACUAUUAACUUGAUAAUAUUUAACAUUUUCAUUGAUGUUUUGAGUUAUAAUGAGCUCUCUUGCUCAAUUCAUUAUGGAAAGUUGCUAAACACUUUUAAAUAUCCUUUAUUGCUUUAUUUACCUUUUGUUUUGACAGGUCAAACAUGACUGCUUUCUAUAAAAGAAAUGCAUGAGAAGUUGACUAUCGUAGGUGCAAAAAUUAUGUUUUAUAAAAAUAUGCAUUAGUAUUGCAUUUCCCUCUUACCAGUUGAAUUCCAAGCCAGUUGUAUUAAACUGGAUAUAGAAAUGAAGGAGCUGCCUUAAGCACUUUAGAAAAGGAAAUUUUCUACAAUUCAUUUUGACACUUGCAGCUUACCAUGUCACAUACAUCUUUAACUUUGGUAAAUAUGUAUAUACCAAGCAUUUAAUAAUAAUGCACAUAGAAAUUUAAUAUACAGUAAUUAUUUGAAUGUUCCAGGUAUAGGUGAAUAAAUUUACAGUAUUAGGGGCAUAUCUUGUCUGUACAUGGGUUUAAUUAUUGGCAUCUGUACCAUUUGACAAACCAUUAACUACUGCUAUACAGCUUACCUUGUUCUGCAAAUAGUAACCAUUCCCUGUGUUAUAUAAAGUGACAUAUUAACUUGCAUUUAUUUUCUCAUUUAUGAAAUUAAAGCAUGAAUAAUAUCAUGUAUAAUUUGAACUGUGAUCCUUGGUGGUAUAAAUAAUAAAAGUAAAUAUUUGUGAUAAAAUCUUUUAAUUAGGCUAAGAUAUUGUUUCAUGACUUACUUAGAAUAAUUAGGUUUUUUUAUGUUUCCAUAAAAUUUUUGUUAUUUGUAUAUUAUUAUUUCUUUUAAAAACAAUUUUGGAAAAGGAUAUAUGUUAAAAAUGAUUAUUCCUCAAAGAGUUUUAAAAGAAAGUAUAACAUCUUAUUAUGAAAUAUGUGAUUCUGGGGUUUAAAAAUUUGGCAAUUUUCAAAUCAUCAUAAUUUCUUAAAGAAUGUAUUUAUUAGAUCUGUGUUCAUUGAUAGGCUAAUUCAUAAAACAAAUAUUUGAGUGUCUGUGAUAUGGCAGUGAAAAUUUUAUUACUUUGCAUUCACAUUUUCAAAACUAGUGUAUUCAAUUUAUUGUGCAGCUAGUUUUGCUUCUUUUUAGUAUGCUGAGACUGCAUUUUAAAAAUAAUGUUUUGUUAAAAAGUCAGAAGUGUUAAAAAGUAAAUUUGUUAGUUUUUAAAAAGCUCAAAUUAACUGCGUAUAAUAUGGUUCACUUUUAUGUAAUCACAUAACAUAGGUUCAGCAAAGCUUAUUUCUUGAGUUUAUUUUUACUAGAUAUAGUCUUUCAGAGAAGUGUAUGGUCACUCUGUAUACAGGUAACCAUAAAAUUAUUUGUUAUUUUUAACCAAAACGUACAUUUCAUAAUGCCAGCACUGGAGUAUUAUAAAGAUCAUGUUUUCUUAGCCAUCAUAGCAAGAUUACCUCAUGUUCAUAGUAGUUUUAGUGGGUUUUUUUUUUUACAGUAUUUACAUUUCUGCAAUUAUGUGUGAUUUUUAAUGUCACAUAUGAUAGCACUGUUACCUGGAAUAUAUGAUUAACCUACAUAAACAUUUUUAAUUGGUUUUGGACAUGUCAUAUAAAGGUUAGUACUGGCUUAAUAAACAGAUACCAGAAAUUGCCACCGUACUUUUCUCCUUGGACUACCCAAUUAUUAAGCUAAAAGUAUUUGUUAUUUUGGGGUCAGUAUAGGGUACUGACUUUUGAUUCAUAAUCUUUUAAGUUAUAUUUGUUUAAGGUGAUAUGUUUUCUUAAUAAUACCCAGUCAAUAUAUGUUAGUCCUUAGGAAUGGAUGUAUAGAGGAUUUCACAGUAAUGUAGGGCAGAAGGUAGGUGAACGUGUUUGCUUUGGCUUGGCACUUAUUAAGUUUGGACUAAUUUAAAAUAAGUCAAAUUGUAAGUGAUUGGCAAAAGCCAUUUUAUUAAUAUUGGAACUUUUUGGAGAGCACAGAACAAUGAGAAUCCAUCUUUUAAAAACAUAUAUAAAACAUUUCUGAUAUCUCUAAGGUACCAAAGCACUGAGUCUAAUUCACCUAAUCUAAGGGAGACUCUUUAAAAUCAAAUUUAUAACUAAUUCAUACUAUAAGAUACAUAAUAGCUAAAGUUUUAGAGUAAUAUAAUUUAUAUUAAAAACCACUAGUCUUUAAAAUACCUAUAUGUGAUAUUAAGAUGAUUUUGGCAUCUUUUUCAAAAGUAUUCAAAAUUUAUCACCUUAGCUUUGUCAUAUACUAGGUCUGUGACAAUUGUGUAAAUCACUCAUCACCUUUGGGCCUCUGUUGCCUUACUUAACUCAUUAUGUCUCAAUUUCCCAAAUAUAAGACACCUAUAAAAACCUAUAAAAUUGCUCAAUUUAAGUUUUUAUAGGUGUCCUAUACAUAGGAGGAGACAGUGGGUUAAAAUAAUUGUAACUUGUUCAGCCUACCUCACAGGGCUGUUGUGAGGAAUAAAUGGAUGGAGUAUGUGAAAUUGCUUCAACAACAGCAAAGUGCUAUGUAAAUGUAAGCUGUUAUUUUUAGUUAAUGGAUUUAAGUGUUCGGAUACUUCUAAAUGCCAUUUACUUUGAUAAAGCAUGUUCUUAAAGUGGUAUCAUCAUUGAUUUUAAAUGUGAUUUUUAAAAUAAAACCUUUUAUCAAGAUGUCAUAUAAUAUUAAUUUAGUUUGUGCAUUACUUGUGGCCUUUUAAUAUUUUCUUAUCUAUUUUAAGACUUUUUAGAGUAGUAAAAGUUCUUCCAUGGCAUUAGUGUAUCAGUGUAGAAGUAUAGCAUAAAGAAACAGUUUUUAAGCAAGCUGCUACUUUUCCAUACAGGAAUUUGAACUUUCAGCUUAAGACUACUCAGUGCCAUGUGCAAAGAGUGAAUUUGGCCUGAAUAACUUUUUUUCCAAACAACUAAAUGGUUCAGGAGUUUGUGUGCUCAGUGAACAUUUGACAACAGUAUUGCAUUGUCCUUUUUAAAAAACAAGAUGCAUUUCAAAACCUUGUAGUAAACCUAAAUAUCAUUUAUUAUCUCACAUACUUAUUUUGCUUUAAAUUAGAUUUAUUAAUGGGGAUUUUUACAAGUUAUGUUAAUCUACAAAUUUCAUAUGUCUAUUAUCUGGACAUGGUUUCACUAUGCAGUAAUAAAAAUUCUAAUUCCUCAGGUUUAACCUUUAAGUUAUGGAUGAAGAACAUUAAUAAACCACAUAUAUGCUCAGUUCUGCAACACUGAGUUAAUGAACAUAUUGCCUCAUUUUCCUUAGAAACAACACAAAGCUUUAAAAUGGUUGUCUUUAAAAUAGAGUAUUUGAAGUGUAGUAACUUGUAUGUUUAAGUAAUAGUAUGUUGUGUAUAGAAUAUCCUAGUUAAGUUUUUACAAAAGCACUUGGAAUAUCUCAUCUAAAAAUUAAACAUUUUUCUCUUUCUUUUGCUUCAGUGCUUGA
rnacentral:lncRNA from 1 species